UUUGAGUGAUGCUACUUUCCCCGUGUGUAUGUUUUUUGUCAAUGUAGUUUUUCUUGUUCUCGUAAUAUUGUUUUCUUGUACAGCCAAGGAUGUUGAUGACUGUUGACGAAAACCUCAAACCUCUGUCAGUCCCAGUUCGGGUGGGCCAGGCUGUUGAUGUUGUUGGCCAGGCUGGCCGACCCAAGACUAUUACUGGUUUCCAAACCCAUUCCACCCCAGUUCUUCUGGCUGCCGGCGAUAGAGCAGAACUGGCUACGGAAAAGUAAGUUACCUCCUGAAUGACUGGUAGGAAUGUUGCGUGAUUUAACUGAAUUGUGAUUUCGCUUAACGAUUCCAUUUGUACAGGUAUAUUCCCCUCUCACCCAUCUUAGAGGGCCAUGUUAUUUUGAAAGAAAAUCCGGAUUACAGAGAAGAUAGUUAGGUUAAAAGCAGGAAUCUGGAGGCUUAAUACAAUGUUUGUUGAUUGUAACUUCAAUUUUUAAUUUUUGUAACUUAAUUUUUAUCCGUCAUAAAAUUUCGAUUUGUUGACUACAAAAGCAGAAAUUCUUCAUGCACUCAUUUACCGAUCAAAAGUUUUUAAUUAGUAUAAUUUCUGCAGAACCUCUUUUUAUUUAUUUAUUUAUUUGAAUAAUCAUUAAGAACUUAAAACCCUAAUUCGAUUGCAAUUUAAAGUGGAAAUUAAGAAAUGUUCUUACCGAUUCUUUCAUUCUCACUUUAAAAUCACAGAAGUAGCAAGAAAAAGUAAAACUAUAUAAUCAUUAAUGCUUGAAGCUUUUUAACGUCAGAUUGCAGUUUUAGGUAGAGAUUAGAGUAGCAGUAGCCUCCCGCCUCAUUUUCCUAGUUUAUUUAAGAUGAUUAGAGCACCAUUUUGAGGUUAAGUGUUACAGCAGCAUAUGUAGCGUUAGUAUAGGUAGGCGAUAGCUCAAAUGAAAAGUUCUGCUAGAUUUCGCCAUGACCAAUUUUGGAUUCGAGCAUUGCAAAAGUUUUGUCGAACACGUAUUCUAGGCCCCCAUUAACCAAAAGAGGAAAAGUACUAUAUUUUAUCCUCUGUUGCCUUGAAAAUCCCUUCUGAUAAAAUAUUUCUGGUUGAACUCAUUGGCAUCUUCUCCCCAUUGUUCGAUCCCUAUGCGACAAGGUGCAAUGGCAUAAACAGCUUGCCAAACUCCCGCUGGAAGACUCAAAAAUUUCCAGCUUUUGGUUCUAUUCUGUUAUGUGAUUCGAAUCAAGGACGUCGAAGGGAUAUAGUCUUAAACUUCAAGCAGAAUCAUGUUUACCUAGUCAGAAAAAAAAAUUUCAAAUCUUCAAUCAAACAGCACAAGCAAGAAACCAUAAACCAAACUGCACUUACCAUCUUCAAGCGAUUCAAAGUCAUCAUAUGUUGGUUUAUUCUUUCCCAAAAACUUUGAAUACAUUCUUCCCAUGGCCGCUUUCUGCCAUCAUUAUGCAUUCUCAACACAAUCAUGGUCCAUGUCAACUUAUUGGCUGUGGUUUCCUGACCAGCUAAGUAAAACAACUUGCACUCUUCUUCAAUCACGUCUUCCGUUGUCAUCCCCGCAUAAGAAUUCUUCUUUUCUUGUAGCUCAUUGAGAUUGGACUUCAGUAGCAAGUACAACAAAUCGUCUUUGUGAUCUGCUAUCUUAUAGCCUUCUCUCUUUUUUGUUCUAUACCUGUUAAUAAGGAUCCAACUUCUCUGAGGAUGUGCUUCAUUCUUUCGUUUCCUUUGGCUGGCAGAAACCUGAUUGAGAAGGAAGUUUUGGAAUAAAAUUUGCAAUGUAAAUGGUACUACUCAUGAUGAGGAGAUUGGUUCAGGUUGUUUAAAAUUUGUGUAACAAUUUGUUGAAGAUAAAGAGUCAAAUAGAAGGUCAUAGUGAAUGAGCAAAUGCCAUAGGGUAAAAUAUACCUUAACAAUGGGAAAUUGAUGCUCUGAGAUUGUAAAAAGACCCGUCCCUUUUCCUUUUGGAGAAGGAAUAUCAACCUCCCUUCUUCGAAAUUACUGCCAAAAACUGCUCUCGAUAUGACACCCCCAGUUAAGUUUCGAAAUUCAUCAGACAUAUGCAUUUCACAAGACCACAUGAAGUUGACCAACUUGUUCCACUUUGAUGUCAAUUCUUCGGUACAAACAACAAAUGCAGGCAACAUAUGCUAACAAUAAUACCAAAUGAGUAAAAUAAGUCGCCAAUAACGGUUCUAAAAAAGAAAGCUGAUGAAGAAAAAUAACCUUCAACUUCUCUAUAUGGAAGACAGGAUUAACGAUUCUCCUCUGUUUUGCCCAUUUAUCUCCAUUAUAGCUUGCAAGGCCAGUCACGACCAACUCAGUGAAUGAAUUUAUUUCUGGCUUAGGGAAAUCACCAGAUUUGUUGUUCAGAAUCUCUUUUAUUAAAUUUGGCUCCAUGAUUGCCACACGAGGAGUUGUUCCAUACCAAACAAAGAACGAUUUCUCCGCAUGGUUUUCACAUAUACAGUGAGGAUUCUUGUCAUUUGCAUAUCCUUUAUGACCAUUGACAGCUUUUGUUAAUUUUGUGCUUUAAUUUUAACGAUCCAAACGUCAUACCCCUCAAUAUUUAAAACGUUUUAUAAAAAAGCUGUAAUGAUUGUUGCAAUGUUCAGAAACCUGGAUAAAAAACAAAAAGUAUUUUUAGAAGUAUAUUAAAAUCAAACAAUCGUUAUCAAUUUUUUUAAAGUAUGAUUGAUUAUUUAAAAAAUUUAUCUCUUUAAUAAAAUAUUAAAAUAAAUUUAAAGUUUAUUAAAAAUAUAUUUUAGCUUUCGAAAAUAGAAUUAAGUUCGAGAAUCGAUUACGUAUGAGAAAUAAUUAGUACUUUCGCAAUGACUAUUAAAAACGAUACCAAUUGAUUGUAUGUUAUUCUUGAGAUUUAGUAAAAAUGGUCUUAUUUUUCAAUGUUUGUAAAUUGAUUCUCUAAUUUAUUUAUUCAUUCUAAAAAUUGAAUCUUUUUGAAAAUUUAUUGUCUCGAAAACAAAUCAUUUUUAUUCUUUAAAAAAAAAAAAAACAAUACCAUUUAUUUUGGAUCAAGAUGAAAAAUCAUAAGUUUUGAAACACUUCUUUCACUCCCUUAUAUUUAGACAGAAUUUAAAAAAUGUUUCUAACUUUAAGAGUUUUCAAGAUGCUCUACAAAACCAAGAUAAUAUUCGUAUAAAUAAUAACCGUUGAGAAUCUCCCUAUAUUUAAGUUAGAUCUUAAGAGUUAUUUUUACUUGAAGUAUUAUCUUAUUUUUAUUAUUUUUAAAACAUUUUCUUAAAAUAUAUUAUUCAUGAAACAUUCGAAUGACAUGUAUGAACAAACAUAAUAUGUAUAAUAUAUGCAUGACCAUCAAAUAGGGAAUGGCAAAUAUGAAUGCAUGAAUGCAAUAACAAUUCAAGAAUGUUAAUGCAUGUGAUAAUUUAUGGAAAUGAAAUGUGAAUGCAUGAAAAAAGAGUCUAGGGUUGGUUCUUAAGGUUUAAGGUUGGUUUGGGGAUUGUUUUGGGGUUCAGUUUAGGGUUUUUAGGGUUAAGGUUAGAGUUUAGGGUUUAGAUCUGGUUAGGAAUGUGGGUACAGUUUAAGGUUUGGUCUAAGGUUUGGUUUAGUUUAGGUUGGUUUAAGGUUUUAUGGGUUUUGGGGUUGGUUUAAAGGUUUAGAUUUGAUUUAGGGUUUGGAAUUGGAUUUAGGAUUUGGGGUUUGGGGUUUUGAUUUGGGGUUUAGGGUUUUGAUUUAUAGUUUUCGGGUUUGGUUUAGGGUUUUGAGGUUUGGGUUUAAGGUUUUAGGGUUUAAGAAUUUAGGUUAGGGUUUAGGGGUUUAGUUUAGGGUUUGGGGUUUGGUUGGGGUUUAGGAAUGGUUUAAGGUUUUAAGGUUUGAUUUUAGGGUUUAACGGUUUGCAUGAACAAUGCAUGUGACAAAAUGAACAUGGUACCAAUGGAAAAUGAAACUUUUAAUGCAUGAAAUGGAACUACAUAAAAAACCAAAGCUUGAGGCAAAUGCAUAACCUUACUAAAAGAAAAUCAAACUCCUAAGGAUAUGGGAAGGUUCAAGGAUUAGUCAACCCAUGAAUAGGGGCUAGACCAAAAUCUUCAAGGCCAUUUGAGCAUCCAUUAUAUUGGUGAAACAUAUAAUACUAUAUAUCUCCCAUUUUCAUUCAAAACAAGCACAUGAAGAUCAAAGUUAAGAAUAUUAAAAAUUCAUUCACUUAACAUUAUUACCUUUUGAAAAUUUCAUCAAACACAUGGAAAGCAUAAAAUUUUAAUUAGAAAAAAAAAAGCAAACAUGCCUGAAAUAUCAACCUCUAGCCAUGAAAAAUAAGGUUGGGAGUCUCAACCAAGCAAUGGGAAGUGCUAGGCCAAAAGCUUCCCAUGGCUCCUCCACAAAUAUUCCUCAUUUAUUUAGCUACGACAUACUUCAAAUACAUAGAAAACUAACCUAUGAAGGCAUUUUAUUAUCAAAGGACUUUCAUCAAAUAUGUAAGAAACUACUAAGAAAGUAAAGGUUAGAAUCAUCUAUACUUACGAAAUAACCAACAUAGCUCACAAAAGUAUUAGACUAUUAUACAAGUAAUAAUCAAUAUAACCACAAUCCCAAUAUAAUACAUUAAUCCAAGCAAGGAAGCCACAUAAACAAACUAAGGGGAGGUUUGGCUAUGGCAUGGAAGAGCUUGGCCAAAUCUCCAAUGGUGGCUUUCUUGAUAUUACUUGAUCUUCCUUACUUCAAACUAUACUAUUGAUUUAGUUAGUUGAAUUUAUUAGAUCAAACAUGGAAUUAUGGAAGAAAACAGCUACAGGAAGAGUUGAUCCCUAUUGGAAAGUCACAAAAAUCAAAGAAAAAUAAAAUAAAAGAGUAUGAAAGUUUGCAUGAAAAUGCAUGGAAGUAGGGAGGAGAAAUUAUACCUUAAAAGCUUCCUCCAAAAAAAAUUUUUUCCUCCCUUUUUCUCUUUUUUCACGCCACUGUUUGGCUGCCUCUUCCCUUUUUUUUUUUCAACCUUAUAUGAUAAAUCUAGAAACCAUGCAAAAGUCCCUUAACCCUUUAAUCAAUUCUUUUUCCAAUGGCUAGCAUAGUUUUUCCCUUUCUCUUCAAGCCUAAUGAUCCCAUUCGAUUAUGAGUUCUAAGGGUCAUCCUGAGUCUAACCAAGUUUGACAAAUUUUGACUAGAUUUAACUUUAUUUGACUAAGUUUGACCAUAGGAUAUUCAAGCUAAUUUAGUCCAAAAUUCAGUUUUUUAAAAAUUUGUCAAUAUUAAAGAAAUGCUGAAUUUGAAUUAGGUCGAUCUUUAAAAGCAUCACAACUAACUGGAAUUUGCCUCGACAAAAUUAAAUGUCUACAAUGAUCCAUAUGAUAUACAUCAUAUGAUCUUGUAAUCAAUUUGUAAUGAUCCACAUGAUGUCUAGUUAGAAAUAUUUUCAAAAUAUGAAAAUAGUUUGAUUAAAUAAAGACUUAGUCAUAAGAGAAUCAAAUUAAGCUAAUUUAAUAAUUUAAGGAAAUGUUUCAUGAUCAAUAGGAUUGAUUUUAGACUUAAAGAAUUAAUGAAAGAUGGCAUAUCAUAGGAGCCAUUGACUAUCUUAACAAGAGUAAUCGAUUACCAUGUUCUUGCUUAAAAAAAAGUUGACUAUCUUUACCAAAAAAGUUAAUUGCUAUGUAUUCCAAAAAGGUACCAAGGACUUGGUACAAAACUUAACAUAAAAGCAGUCAAUAGCUUACCCUAGGCAAUCGACUGCUAUGGCUGAAAUUGAUUGCUCUAUUGAUUGUUUUAAGUUUUGGGUAUCUGGAAUUAAGGGAAAUCGACUGCUAUUAGGCAAUUUUGACAACCCUAAUUCAUGGAACAUUUUGGAAAUGAAAAUUACAAAUAGAUAGUUGAUUAUUUUUAGGAAGCAAUCAAUUACUCUAGUUGAAAAGUUACAAUUUUUUUGAAAUGUGAAAAAUGGUUUCUAUUAAAAUGAAAAGAGUAAUCAUUCAAAUGAAUUAAUAUAACUUUGAUUAAGCAAUUAUAAUCAAAGAGUCAUAGCCUUAGGAUUUAAUCUCUAUAAAUAGAGAUUGUUAGUGUUCGUUUGAGCUAAUUCAAAAAUAUGUUCAAGAUUGGACAAUAUAGAAACUCACUUUUUUUUCUCUCAUUCUAUAAUAAAUAAAAUAAAGUUACAUUGACAUUAUUUUUACAUAAAUUAAUAUUCAAAGGUUAAUGUUUUCAUUUUCAUUAAAAAGUGUUUCGUGGUUUGAUAUCAUAAGUGCAAGAUGAAAUCAAACAAGACUUUAAUGUAUCUUGAAAUCAUUUCAGUUAUAUCCCUUUUGCAUAACUUAAUUGGGAGGGACUAAAUAACCUAAGGAAAGUGACAUUUGCAGCACGCCUUAAAGUCAUUUUCUUAUUCUUUGAAGGUUUCAUCUUAAGAUCAACCAAGGCUAGAAGAGAAGAGUAUAACUGAAGAUACAAAUUGAUGAUCAUCAUUAAGAUACAAAAAUUUGUAACAAAAAUUAUACAAGUCUUGAAAUUUCUUUUCAAAAUAAAAAGAAAGCUAAAACUAAAAAAUAAAAAUAAAAAUAAAAAAGGCCUAAGCAAAAAGCAAAAAAAAAAAAAAAAAGGGAAUGACUUUAUACUCGUCUCAACUCAAUCGAUAUUGAGUUAUUAUUUUUAAUACUCAACCUCAAUCUGACACAUAUAUAUGUAUAAACUACAUUUGAUUUAAUUUGACAAAAAAAUAAAUUUAAUAAUAUAACAUUAAUGAAAAUAUUAUUUUUUUAAUAUAAUUACAUCUAAAUUAUAUGUAAAUAUAAUAUUUUAUUAGAUAAUAAUUUUAUUAAUAUAAUAAAUAAAAAUUAAAUUAAAUAAAUAAUAAAAUAUAUAUAUUCUUAUAUAUAUCUUAAAAUGGGACGGGACAAGGCACCUUCAACCUGCCUUUAACCUGAUCUCAAUUUUCAAGGAGAAAAAAUUGUCCUACCUUGACUUCAUUUUAAUUAAAAAAUCAUCCAUAUUAAUUUGACGAGUUAAAACCCAUCGGAUACAGGUUGUUUGGACAUCUUUACUUUCACUGACACCAUUUUUUACAAAUUUCAUUUUAUUUAAAAAUGGAAAAAAGACAAACAUAAUAAAAAAAGGCCAAAUAGGGUGCCAUGUAGACGCUUUUGUUAUCAUUUUAUCUUUCAAAACAUAGAUAAAAAAUGCUAAAAUAGAUAAUUAAAAAAACUAUAACUAAAAAAAAGAAAUGUCUUAAGAAAAAAAAAAGCCAAAUUAAUGGGAAAUGACUCAACGCUAACUUGAUUUUUUAAUAAUUCAAUCCGAUUUCAAUUUUGACUUGACAUUGAGUUAUUAAUCAUUAAUAUUUGGUCUCCAAUCGUUACAUUUAUGUAUAACUCAUAUAUGACCUAAAUUGAUAAAAAAUUAAUUCAAUAAUUUUAAUUUAGAAGAAUGUUCAUGAAAAUUUUUUUUUAAUAUAAAUUACAUCUUAAUUAUAUAUAAAUAUAGUUUUUUUUAUUAAAAUAAGAUAUUAAAUAAUAACUUUAUUAAUAUAAUACAUAUAUAAAUAUAAAAAUAAAUAAAUAAUAAAAUAUAUUUUUAUAUAUACCUGAGACGAGAUGAAACAUCCUAAACCUACUUUCCACCCGAGCUUGUUUAAAACAAAAAUAAAAAACUCAACCCGAUUUGGAUUAAAAAAUACAACUAUUGGACGAAGAUGAAUUGAAACCUAUCAAAUAUAAAAGUUAAGAACCAAAAAAUAACAAAAAAAGAAAAGAAAAGGAAGCUAAAUAUAGGUACCACAUAGAUUUAUUAAAUUAAAAUAUUAAAUAAUAACUUUAUUAAUAUAAUACAUAUAUAUAAAUAAAUAAAUAAAUAAAUAAAUAAUAAAAACACUUCUUUAUAUAUAUUUGGAAUGGGGUAUAGCAUCUUAAAUCCGUCUUCGACUCAAUUUCAAUUUAAAGAAAAAAAAAUAGUGACCUGAUUUUAAAUUUUAAAAAACACCUAUAUUGGAUGAGGGGUGAAUCAAAAUUUAUCGGAUAUGAGUUAUUUGUCAUCCUUUGUUCCAUUAAUUUUUUUUUCAAAAUUUAUCUAAUAAAAAAUAAAGUCAAAAAUAAAAAAUAAAAAACCAAAUAAAAUUAAAAAAAUAAAAGUAGAUUUUAAAGAAAUAUUGGAUGCCACAUGACCCUCACCCUCAUUUAUAGAUGUCUUAGACAAAGGAAAAAUAAAUGUUUUCUUUGUUCUAAAAAAUUAAGAGUGGCCACCUAAAAAAUCUGUAACUAAUUUUCAUUUAAUGAUAGGUAAUACAAUAUAUUAAUAUUCGAAACCACAAACUUUUCUUAUAUAUAAAUUUUUUAUAACAUUAUAUAAUAUAUUUUUAAAAAAUAAUAAUAAUAAUUAAUCAAAUAUUUAUUUCAAAUUAUCAAUAUAAAUUACAAUUAUAAUCAAGUAUUAUAUCUAUAAUAUAAAAAAUCACUGAAUAAUCAAUUAAACAAACUAAAAUAUCAUUAGACAAAUCCAAUAUAAAAUUGAAUCAAACCUAUACAAAAUGAAACUUAAACUAAGAUAUUAUGGUUCUAAAGCAUUUUUUUUCUUUUUACCAUUAAACCAAAACUUCAUUAACAAAAUUGAUUGAAUACCAUUUCUAUUCAUAAGAACGGUUAAGAUCCCUUGAGCAAUGCAAGAUUUAGACAAUACAAAUUAAAUCUUCUUGCAUAAGCCUAUACAAAAGCAAUAGGAUGGUAAUGUAAAAACUGUAUCUCCAAUUUGCCACUAUGCGCCAUGGAAGCAAGAAAAUUGACACAAAAAUUAGUCUUUUUUUAAUAGGUGAGGACAACUUGACCAUUCCAAUCUCUUGUCAAUAGCACCUUAUAAAGAGGAUCCAUCGAUUGAAGUUAGGUAUUGAUAAUUUUAUGAAGUGCCACAAGAGAAUCAAAUUUCAAUAUGGCAGACCUAUAACUAUGUUCUCAUGUAAUUCGUAAACCCAUGAAUAAAUUGCAGACACUUCCAUCUUGAGAAAGAUGCCCCAAUCAAUUUUCUCAAUAAGAAAAAAAAAAAAAAAGCCAACAACCAUUGCUAUCACUAUGCAAACCCCCAAUUACCAAUUCUCACGAAUUAUGAAAAGCUGAAGCAUCAACAUUUAACUUAACAAACCUAAAGGUGGAACAGGCUAAGUAAUAUGUUCCGAAACUUCCAAACGUCCCAUACACAACCAAAUCAUACAGUUGAUUUUGAAAAGAAAGAGUCAUCACUAAUUUUUUUUUUUAUGUGUAGUUAGACACUUAAAAAGUUUAUCUUUUUAAUAAAAUUUUAAGAUUAAUUAAAAUUUAUUUAAACAUUACUUUUAUUUUAUGAAAAUAAAUUUGAGUUCAGAAAUACUGUUACGCGUGUGAAAUUAUUAACACCCACAUAAUGCCAAUUUUAAAACAGUAAUAAUUGAUCACAUACUAUCUUUUAGUAUUGAUAAGACUAGUUUUAAUUUUAAUAUUUAACAUAAUUUCCUUAAUUUUAUUUAUUUUUUAUUGCAAAAUCCUUUUAAAACAUUUUAUUUAGGAAUAAGAUGAAAAUCUUUAAUUUCAAAAAAAUUUUAUGAACUCUUUUAUAUUUAGCAAAAUUUUGAAAAAUAUUUAUCCACUUGAGAUUUUCACAAUAAAUAAUAACUACUAAAAAAUCCUUGAAUAUCUAGGUCGGAUCUCAAGAAUUAUUUUCACUUAGGAAUAUUAGCUUUUAUUUUCAAUAAAAAAAUAUUUUUUCAAAAUCAUAAUUUAUUACUUUAUAUUUUUUGACAAUAAUAAAAUGCAAAUAAUGCAACAUGGAGCAAAUGGAUGAUGAAAAUAUAAAUUAAAAGUAGUAAAUGUCCGAUUUAAUUUCACUUUAUAAGUAUUUAAUUUGAUAUCUUUUUAUUUUUAUCAUUAUUUUUAAAAAAAUAUUUAGUGAUAAAUGAAAUUUUAUUUAUUUAUUUUUGUGUUGGAAAAACCUUUUUAAUUUUCUAAUAUUUAGGUGAAAUUUAAGAAAAUUAAUCCUUCACUUAAAAAAUUCUCAUGAUUAAUUUUUGGUAAAAAUGAAAAGGAUAUUCUUUAAUAAAAAUUCGAUUUGGAUUCCCCGCAAUAUUUAGAUAAGAUCUCCAAAAUUAAUUUUUAAUUUUUUUUUUAUCAUUAUUAUCACUUUAGAUUUAUUAUCAAUGGGUGAUGCAAUAUAAAUGAUGUACAUAAAAAUAACAUAAUGCAAAUAAUCAAUUUCAUUCCAUUUUUUUAAGUUUUUCAUUUUUAUAUCUAUUAUUAUUUAACAAAGUUUUUAGAAAUAAAAUAAAAAUUUUUAGUGUUGGAAAAUUUUCUUAAUUCCCUAAUUUGAAGUGAAAUUUAAGAAAAUUGAUCCUCUAUUCAAAAUUUUUGCAUAAUUGAUCUGUUUUUUUAUAUAAAAUUAAUAUUCUUUAAUAAAAUUAAUUAUUUAAAUUCCUUUCAAUAUGUAGAUAUAAUUUCCAGAUAUUAUUUUUAUUUAGGAUGUUGUUUGGAAAAUUUUUAUUGCUUAAAAUCAUGAUUUCAAAUUAUGCAACAAAUGAAUAUGUAUGAAUAACUAAACGGAAAAUGUGAAAAGGAAACCAUUUAGCAAGCGAAAUAAAUAACCUAAACAAAUUAACAUAAGACACGUGAAAACAUAAUGGAAGUGAACCUCACCACAUGUAAAUUAGAGAACGACUACAGUAUGCAAUAUACAAUUUGAGCAAUCACAAUAACAAACCAAAACCUCUAUUAAAGUUGAUGAAUGAAAAGUCAAAGGAAAUGGUUUCAUUUAUUUCAAAACAGCUCAAGAUUCCAUUCUCGGUUAGUUUUCAAAAUUUUGUAUUUCUUUAAACAUUCUCGUCCUCAUAUUUUUAAAAUUAAGAAUGAAGACAUCCUCUUUUUAUCAUUAAAACAGCACUUAGAGACCCCAAAGACCCAGCUUUGAGCUUCUGAAAACAGCCCACCUGAUUAAAAUAUUGAAACCCCUUCAAAAAUCAAAUUUUGAAACGUAAAAACCAUCGAAACUUUCCUUUUCUUUCAUGUUUUGGAAAGCUCCUUGACUUUACUAUAAAAGCUUCAAUUUUUAUCGUCAAAGUCAAACCUAAAAGCUCAAAACUUGAUCCUAAUCCUCCUUAAACAGCCAACAAAGGGGCAAAGUCGAAAAGGUCUUUGAAACCAGUUUUUGAACUUUGAAAGAACUUCAAAACCCCUUCUUUUCUCCGAGCUAUAAAAAACCUUUAAACUUUGAAAGCAUUACAAGAGAAUAGGCCUUUAGUGACUUUCUUUUUUUUUUUUUCAUAUUUAGUAGCAUUUACCGCUAAAAGAUUUAUGGCAUUUGCUAAAAACAUCACUAAGAGUAUUACUUAUACCUGUGUUAGGGAUAAUAAUGACAUUGUAAGAAAAUAUUCCGCUAACUUAUCUAUCUCUAUAGGCACAAAUGCCACUAAAUUUAGCAACAUUUAUAUGUACAAAUGUCUUUAAUUUUUGUAAUCUAGGGGCUUUUAUAAUGAAAAAUGUCACUAAAUUUAAUGAUUUUUUUAUAGACAAAAGCCGUUAUAUUCAAAAAUUAGUGGCAUUUUUUUUUAUCAAAAAUACCGUUCAAUUUAGUGACGUUUUUUGCACAAACGCUACUAAUUUCUAUAAACUAGCAGCAUUUGUUUGCUAAAUUAGAAAAUUAACUUUUUUUAAAAUUUUUUAGUAUUUACUACUAUAAUUAAAUAAAAAAAUUUAAAAGAAAUAAAAAUGAAUUUAAAUUCAUAAACUAAAUAUUAUAAAUAUUUAAAUAUGUAAAUACAUAAUUUGUUUCAGUAUACAUAGAAUACAAAAUUUAAUACAAUAACACUCAAAUUGUUUUAGUAAAUUAAUUAAAAAUUUAAAUGUAUGAAAUUGAUGACCUCUUAAACUUAGAGCACUAUCAUUUAAUAAAGAAUUUUUAUGAUCACUAGCUUGCUCUAGAACUUACUGAAUAAAGUAAAACAAGUUUUAACACUUAAUAAUAAGCUAUUUUUGAUAGUGAAAAAAAUAAAUGGUUAUUUAAUAUAAUAUCCUUAGUUAGUGGACCACCUAGAUUGGUUUCUGAAAAUUAUUAUUGUACAAAAUUUAUAAGAGUGUCAAAUCGAUCAUGCAACUGCUAAAAUCUUGCAUGCUCCUGAUCCAUUUUAGCACACUAUUAUUCAGUUCUAGCACGCUUUUCCUCUAAUCUGGCACGCUCUACUUCUCUUUUUGCUUUUAUUUGCUUGACAUGUUAUUGCAUAGUUUUCAAUCCCUUUCUCAAUAUGAAGAUGUCUCACAAAAACUAGCUUGUUGAGAAUGUAAAUUGCUAAAAGCUACAUCCAUAAUAACUAGAUAGUGUUGGACGAUUCAAGGCCUUGGACCCAUCCAUGUCUUUCUUUUUCAGCAACUUCUAUGACAAUUCGAUCUUUCUAAUUUUUGCAUGUUGAUAGAACAAUCAGGAGUUGCUUCAAUCUUAGCAACCUUUUCUCUUUUGCUUUCUCUCGUAAAUUAACUAGAUAAAACUAUCAAGUUUAAUAAUUAAUUCAUAAUAUAUUUAAAAUAGUAAAUAUUUACUUUAUGUAUAAACCAAAUCUAAGAAAUUACCACAAUUUCUUAUGUUUCAAUAUUUAGGUAAAGUUCAUCUUUUUUCGUGUGGGUUAAUAAAAAAAGAUUCACAUGUCCAAUUUUUUAAUCCAAUUCAAUCUCCUACAUAAAAACACAUAUUAUUGUCAAACACACAUCAACUAAAAUUUAUUCAUACAUAUCAAGCAUGGCAAUCAAGUUCAAACAUUCAGAUAAGUUUAAUAUCAUGUAUUUAAGUGAUAUAAAUUAUUAAAACAAAAAAUAACUAAAAAACCAAAUUUUGCCCUUUAACACUAUAAAAAAGUUUUAAACAGACGUAAACUGUAAUUUUUUCACACAUCAAUUGUAAAAAUCAAGUUCAAUCAUUCGAACAAGUUUAAUAUCAUGUAAUAAAAAUAUCCAAACUGUUAAAAAGAAUAAUAACAGUAAAUUUACUUUUUUUGCUUUUUAAUGGCACAAAAAAAUCCUAAACAAAUAUAAACCAUAACUUUUUCACACAUAUCAAUCAUGAAAAUUAAGUUCAAUCAUUUGGACAAGUUUAAUAUUAUGUAUUUAAGAUAUCUAAAUUGUUAAAAUAGAAAUAUAACUACAAAUUAUAUUUUUGCCUUUUAUUGGCACAAAAAGUCAUAAACAGACAAAAAUGAUAACUUUUUCACACAUAUCAACCAUGUAAACCAAGUUCAACAAUUCGGACAAGUUUAAUAUCAUGUAUUGAAGCUAUCCAAACUAUUAAAACAUAAUAAUAACAGUAAAUUUGUAUUUUUGAUUUUUAACAAAAAGUCCUAAAUAGACAUAAACCAUAACUUUUUCACACAUAUCAAUCAUAGAAACCAACUUCAAUAAUUCGAACAAGUUUAAUAUCAUGUAUUUAAGAUAUUUAAACUAUUGAACAAAAAUAUAACUACAAAAUUAUAUUUUUGCCCUUUAAUGGCAUAAAAAAAUCCUAGACAGACAUAAACUACAACUUUUUCACACAUUCAGUUGUGAAAACUAAGUUCAAUCAUUUGAACAAGUUUAAUAUAAUGUAUUUAAGAUAUCUAAACUGUUAAAACAAAAUUAUAAUUGUAAAAUUACAUUUUUAUCUUUUAACAGUACAAAAAGUUUUAAACAAACAUAAAUGAUAACUUUUCACACAUAUCAACUGUGGAGACCAAGUUCAAUCAUUUAGACAAGUUUAAUAUCAUAUAUUGAAGCUAUCUAAACUAUUAAAACAAAAUAAUAACAGUAAAUUUGUACUUUUUCUUUUUAACGAAAUAAAAAGUCCUAAAUAGACAUAAACGACAAUAUUUUCACACAUAUUAACCUUGAAAACCAAGUUCAAUCAUUCAGACAUGUUUAAUAUCAUGUAUUGAAGGUAUCCAAAUAGUUAAAAUAGAACACUAACAACAAAUUUGUAUUUUUAUCUUUUAACGGUAAAAAAAAGUCCUAAACAAACAUAAACCAUAACUUUUUCACACAUAUCAAUCGUGGAAACCAAGUUCAAUCAUUUGGACAAGUUUAAUAUCACGUAUUGAAGCUAAUCAAACUGUUAAAAUAGAAAAUAACAAGAGUAAAUUUGCACUGUUAUUUUUUAACGACACAAAAGUCCUAAACAAACGUAAACCGUAACUUUUUCACAUAUAUUAAUUGUGGAAAUGAAGUUCAAUCAUUCAAACAAGUUUACUAUCAUAUAUUUAAGAUAUCUAAAUUGUUUAAACAGAAAUAUAAUUGUAAAAUUAUAUUUUUUCCCUUUAAUGGCACAAAAAGUCAUAAAUAGACAUAAAUGACAUUUUUUUCACACAUCAACCGUGGAAAUCAAGUUCAAUCAUUUGGAUAAGUUUAAUAUCAUGUUUUGAAGCUAUCCAAACUGUUAAAACAUAACAAUAUAGUAAAUUUGCAUAUUUACUUUUUAACAGCACAAAAGUCUUAAACAAGCAUAAAUAGCAACUUUUUCACACAUAUCAUUUGUGAAAACUAAGUUCAAUAAUUUAUAGAAGUUUAAUAUCAUGUAUUUAAGGUAUCUAAACUAUUAAAACAAAAAUAUAUAUACAAAAUUAUAUUUUUACCUUUUAAUGGCAUAAAAAGUCCUAAAUAGACAUAAAUCGUAAUUCUCUUAUUUAAUUCUUAACUUUUUUUUUUUUUUGCUUUCUUGCAAAGCUUUUUAAUUCACUCAUGCGGCUAUAUUUCUAUUACUUUUUGCUAGCAAUCCUAACCUUUUCUGAUUCCUAUCAUAGAAAAAAAUUGCGUAUAUAGCAGAAAUAUAAAUAUUACCAACUAAAAUCAUAAAAACCUUUAUUAUUAAAAAUAAUAUUAAAAGUUAUAAUUUAGUACCUAUCUUUUUCUUAAGAACCAAAAUCUAACCAAUUGUUCUUAUUGCCACUUAAUUACACCAUGAGGUAGAUUUUUCAUUGUGGCCUUUAUAGUACUAUUUCUAUCGAAAUACUUUUUCUUCAAAUUAUUUAUUGUCUUUCCAUUUCUUUCUCAAUGACUUAAGUACCAAUGAAGUAGGCAUUUCAAGUAAAAAUUAUGACUGUAACAAUACAAAAAGAAAAGUUACAAUCUAUAAACCAACUUUAAAAUAAUUAAUAUUUAUUAUAUGUAAUUAAUUAUACUAAUAUCUCAAUAAACUUUAAAGCAUCUUUCUUAACUUAUGCUAGAACUUUUUGCCAUGUUUGGUAACAAAUAGGCAAUUUCAUUCCAUUAUGAGUAAUCAUUCUUAGAAAUUUUGCCAAUAGUUGACACUUUUUACCAGUUGGUUACAUAUCAAAGUUUGCAGACACUACAAUACACUCAUUUGGAGAUAAUGUCUAUAAUUCUUUCAAAGUUGUCCAACCUCUGGUCUUUCAUUGACCAUUGUUAUCAAUUGUAAAAAAUAAAAAGUUAAUUAGUGAAUUGUCAAUACUUUAAUGAUUAUAAACAAAACCUAAAUAUGGGGUUUACGACACCUUCAUUCAAAUUAGAACAGAAUCAAUUGCUAGGAUACUAUUUAAAUCUCGACCUCGUAUAUUACCAAAUCUAGUAUCAGUUAAAGGUAAGAAGUAGCAAAGUUAGAACCGACAAUAGGCACAUUCCCCUCCAAAAGAUUCAAUCCAUGGCCAAGUUCAACUGGUGCCACAGACGGUUUUAAACUAAUAUCUCUGAUAUGUACUUCUCAUAAUCUACUCUUCAAUAUUGUAACUUAAUUGCAUCAUAAAAGCAAAUCAAUUAAAAGUUGAUAAGUUUAGACAUUGUAAAUAUAACCAACAAUAUAUAAGAACAUAUCUAAAAAAACAUAUAUAAAAACAUUGAAAAGUCAAGAAAUCAUAACCAACGAUAUAUAAAGAACAUAUCAAUUUAAUUAAAUUAAAAGAUAAUGCAUGAUUUACAACACAAUAAAUAUACAAAUGCUAAUGCCACAUAAAUUACAUAAAAACAUUUAUUACAUUAUGUUUUGAACAUUCUAAUUACAAAAUAUAAAUUAUCCAUCAUGGUUUAUAAAUGUCUUCAUCAAUAUAUUCGCGGACCCACUAAGCAGAGGUACUGGAGAUAUUUCUAUCUAAUGUUUGUUCAGCAAAAGAAAAAUAUUCAGUUUUAUGUUCAACAUCAUCUCUAGUAUCUGACCCCAUAUCAAAUAAGUCUCUAAGGGUGUUACGAAGAAUAAAAAACCAACCCAAUUUUUUGGGGUUUUUAGAAUAAAAAACUUGUUUAACUUGAGAGGAAAAAACAUAAGGUUCAUCAAUGAGUUAUUGUUUGGUGUGAAUUAAUUGAGAAAAAUUCACGAUUAUAAAUCCAAACUAAUUUUUCUUAAUACCACUCAUAUUAUUCACAUUAGCCUAAUCACAUCAAAAUAAAACCAUUUUCCAUUUGCCAUAAUAAUCUAACUCGUGUAUGUUAUUAAUCAUGCCAUAAUAGUCAAUAUUUCCUUCUAAAAGGUUUGUGUCCCUAGCACUAGCAUAGCUAAUAAUUGACAAUGUAAUAACAAAUCCUAAAUUUUAUGUUCUUCUAAAUCUCUCAUGAGAUUUAGUGUUAAAUUUAAAUCCAUCGAUGAUGAAGCCUUUGUAUUGUUUCACAAUCCUGUUUAGACCUUGUAAAAUACACUUCACAUUUUCACUAAUAAGCCUUCUACUUCAAACCUAUAAAUGUGGAAUAAAAUAUAUGUUAUUAAUUUUAUUUAUUCACUAAGCAUUCUAUGUACAAUUUUCAUGAUGGAAAGUAUGGCAUUAUUUAUAGUUUCUCCUAACCAUUUAUGAAAAUUUUUGGUGAACAUCUUAUCAAACUCUCAAGGGUUUGAUCAUUAAUAAGUGUACGAGCUCUCAAAUUAUUUUUAUACUCACUAUAUACAUCAAGAUAAAGUAUUAACAAUAAGAAAAAUAUAAUAAAUUACGCUUAAUAGAACGAAUAAUUUCCUCGCAUAGAAACUAAUGUACGAAAUUAUUCAAUUAAGUCAUGAUGGAAAAAAAAUAUCGAUGUGCCUGUGCUCAAGAUUUAUCAUCUAACUCAAUCAUUUCAGCUUUGCCUAUUCGUUGUCUAAAAUUUUCAAAAAGAAAUUUGACAAAGUUAGUAUGCUGCAUACCAAGAUUUCUCGAUGGUCUAUUAAAUCUCAUUUCAACAUCUUUCAAAUAACGAGAACAAAAUGUCAUACACUCCUCUGCUAAAUAUUCUUCAGUAAUAGAACCUUUCGGAUAGUGUUUAUUGUGACAAUAAGACUUUAACCUCCUAAAAAACGUAAGGCAUAAACCAUUUGUCAUAUACAUUUUUAACUAGAAUGGUUUGAUCAACACUAACAACUUAAUCAAGAUAUUAACAAAUAAUACCUUUUGAUAGAAUACUUUCAUUGAUAAUAAAUUGAUUCGUUGAUUUUUGUUUCAUAUGGAACAUGGAUAACCAAAUGCAUCAUAAUAGUGAAAAAGUUUGGAGAAAAAAUCUUCUCUAAAUGGUAUAAAGUAAUCUCAGCUCGAUCUUGAAGUUUGUCAAGCUCUUCCACAUUCACAACUUUUCAACAGAGAACUUUAAAUAUAUUACUCAAUCAAUUACCAUUAAAGUGAUUUGCUUUGACAUUGAUGAAUAUAAAGCAAUGGGAAGUAAGUUUUGCAUCAAGAUGUGGUAAUCAUGUGACUUUAAUGAAAAAAGUUUUCCCUCAUUUAGAUUCACUCAUCUUAAUAUAUUUAAUGUAUAGCCAUAUGAGACUUUCACAUUUUUUAAAACCUUGUAAAACACAUCUUUAUCACCUUUAGACAACUUAAAACAAGUAUGAGGCAAUCAAGAUUUGCAUUAGAAAGCAAUUUGAAUGAAAGUGAGGGUGAAUCCCCAUGUCAACUAGGUUAAGUUGACUCUUUAAGUCAUCAUUUAAUCUUUUAUUCACAUUAAGAAUUAUCCCAAUAAAAUUUUUACAAACAAUCUUUUCUAUGUGCAUCACAUCAAGGUUAUGAUAUAAUAAAUUAUAUUCUCAAAAUAAGGCAAUUAAAAAAAAUACAUUUUUUCCAUAAUAUAGACUCAUUAAGGUCAUAUUCUUCAUCUUCCCCUUCAUCACUUUGACAUCAACAUCACCAACUUGAGCUUCAACAUCACCAACUUAAGCUUCAGCAUCACUAACUUGAAGAAUAUGAGGUCAGAUAUCUUCAAAGAUCUCCCUUACUUUUUUUUUUAAUUGAGUCAUUUUUUCAUAAGUGAAAUUGAUAUCUUUUAAUUUUAGCAAGAUAUCGACCUAACAAUUAGUAAGGGUGUUCUCUUCAACUCUUUAGUUCCAUCAAAGAGAUGUUUUUAGAAUUUAAAUUGAUGAUUAUCAUCUAACCAUUGACAAUGUGCUAUAUAACUGAACUUUCUACCAUUAUGUAACCUCUUCAAACAUAUCUACGCAUCAUAACAUGGACAAGCAUAACUACCUUUGGUGCUUAAACCAAAUAAAUUUGCAUAAGCAAAAAAAUCGUUAAUAGUCCAUAAUAAGGUAGCAUGCAUAUUAAAGUUUUUUUUUAAAGCAUCAUAUGUCUCAAAUCAUUCCCAUAAUUGCUUUAACUUUUCAAUUAGAGGUUAAAAGUAGAUGUCUAUAUCAUUUCCUAGACCUUUGUUUCCAUGAAUUAUCAUAGACAAGAUAAACAACUAUUGUUUUAUGACAAUCCGUGAUGACAAAUUAUAAGGAAUCAAUACAACUACCCAAGUACUAUAAGCAACACUCAUCACUUUGAACGGAUUGAAUCCGUUAGAUGCUAAUCCAAGCAUAACAUUUUGAGGAUUAGAAGCAAAGUUUAAAAACCUAGAGUAAAAUUAUUUUCAUUCCAAAGAAUCAACAAGAUGCCUUAAUAAUCCAUUAUUCAUCCACUUGUUAUGAUGCCACCUCAUAGAAUCGAUAAUUUUGAAAGAUAUGAAAAGUCAUUAAAGUCUUAGUAUUAAUGAAAAAUAUCAUAAAACUUUUAUAGGUUUUUUUUUUAACAUAGACUUCAUCAUCAUCCUCAUUCAACUUUUAUUCAAAAUUUGUGUCCACCUAAUGAGAAUUGUCACACACAUGAAAAGAUUGUUGAUUUUUUUAUCACUCUAAUACAACAUGCAAUCAUUAAGACAACUAUGAUUUUCUCAUAUCUAAGACCUAAUUCCUUUAUCAUCUUCUUUAAAUCCUUAUAAGAUUUAGAGAUUUUUACAAAAAGAAACAUUUCUUUCAUAAACUUCAAUAAUAAAGUCAAAGAGGUUUUUCAUCUAUCCACAUAAACAUUUUAAGUGAAAAAGGCACACUUAGAAAGACAACUUUAAAUGCUUAUAUCCCUUGUAAAGUUCUUCAUUCAUAUCCUUAAGCAACCUAUAAAAUUUUGAUGAUUCUCCACUAGGUUUUUGGUCACCUACACCUAUCCCAUGUUCACCAAAUUCAUUCAUUUCAACAUUUGAUUCAUUAAAUCCAUCAUUUGUUUUCACUCAUUUCAUUUCCCUUGUUUUGAACUAUAUAUGAAUUAAUUUUAAGAGAUAUUUCAAAGAAUGAUAAUAUAAAAGUUUUGACAUUUUUUAUCAUUAUUAUUUUAUUAAUACCAAAACUAUUCUUUUAAAGGAAGUGAAAAUCAGUGUGAUUUUUUUUGCAUAUAUUUUAAAGUAGUAAAAACUUGUAACAGCCCUAAAGUUAUUGUUUUGAAGAUAUCAUAUGUGUUAAGGUUAGUGGGGGUUAAUAGGCUAUUGGUUUAGGCUUGUUUUAGAUAAAAAAAAAAAAUUAGUAAUUCAAUUAAUUCUAAAUUUAUUGAAAAUGAUCUCAUGUUGUGUUGUAUGAACAUAUGAAUAUGAAAUUUUGUUCUUAAUAUGUUAGUAACUUGUAAGUGGCUUAUUAAAGUGACAUCAUGAAAGUUUAAGAACAAUAAUAGUUAUCGCAUUUGGCAUAAGGGUGGAUAAUACAUAUUUUUUUCAUGAUUCCAUUUAUUGAAGUGCUUCUUUUUUAUUAAGCAUGUUUGUGAUUCGUUAAAUCAGUGGGCGUCAUUGUGAUUUGAUUAUAUCACGACAUAUUUUUUUUGUGUGAGGAUUAUGUUAUUACCAAGCUCAUAAUAUAGAUAUUUACAGGUAUGAAAAAUAAAACUUGUUAAGGUAUUGGGUUGAUUAUGGCAAUUAUGCAUUCUAAAUUUACUUUUGAAAUCAUUAUUGUUUUGGGUUUCUUUACUUUAUUAAAUGUAUCACAUGUAAUUGCUAAUUACUUAUAAGAUAUGGUUUGAGAUGAAUAAGUCUAUGUGAUACCAUCAAGUUAAGUGGACACAAUUGUUAUAUAUAUAUAAUAGUUGUUAUUUGUAUAUAUGUUUAUUAUUACAUGUGCGCAUCCGUAUUGACAAGUCAUAUUAUAAAACCUUAAGAUUUGGUAUUUGUAGGACUUUGAUAUCAUUUAAGUAUGUCUCAAAAAUAAUAUCAGCAAGUAACUUUGAGGAUAAAAAGGAGAUGUACAACCAUAUUUGAAUGCCAUAAAAAUUUUUCAACAAGUUUAGAGAAAUCGACAAGAGAAUUAACAAUGAAAAUAACUCAUUGAUAUAACAUUUAAGUGUUAUUUUCUUACUACACAGCUACAUUGAGAUCCAUUGUUGAUAGGGUCACUGGUAUUUAUAAUCAUAGAUUGGUCUUAUGCCAAUAAGGGGCAUAAGGGCUAUCAUAAUUCAAUAUUAAAAGGCUUUAUUAGAUAAGAUCAUUAAGAUGUUGUCUCAAGGGUUAAAUUAUUUUUAAAAUUGUGGCCAUAUCAAAAUAAAAUUAAUUAACCUAGAGUCUUGUUUUUUAAAUUUAGUCCUAAUAUGAGACAAGUAUAAGAGCCAAAACAAAUAAUUGUGAUCACUUAUAUAUAAGCUUUGCACAUCUUAUAGGGUUAGUGUAGUUUAGCGAUAAUACGGGCCUUUGACCCGUUAAACCUUUAAUAGAAAGUUUUCUAGGGUUUCAAUAAUAUUUGGUUAACUUACCCUCUUCACUUCUAAUUAAUGGUAUCUAUCCAUUGAAAGCUGCUAGUAAGAGAAGAGCAAAGUGGAAAAUAUAGUCUCUUUAAUAAUUGAUGUUACUUUUGCUUAUAUUUUAUAAUUGCCCAAAUAGGUACGUAAUAUAAUCAAAUUUGGUAUUCUAAUAUUUACAUAUGGUUAUUUGGAUUUAAGGUUAUACUUACAAGAUAAAGUAAACAAGAACCUAAAAGCCAAGUCUACCUUUUUUGCUUGAAAAAAAAAUGUCAUCUUUUUUUCAAACCCUUUUUUUCUGUCUCUUUUUUUGUGUGUUUUUUUUAAUACUAUUGGAUGGUUUUUGGAUUUUAGGUAUGUUAGUGUCAACUGUGAGGGCUUUCAGGUGUUGAUGGAUAUGAGUGAAGGGGUGGCUUGUUGGUUGAGUGGUGGAGUUUGUUUUUAGCUUUAUAGAACAAUUUGAGAUCUUGAAAAGGAUUAGGAUGCCAGACAAUAAGCUAAUGAGAAUUUUAGGAUCAUGAGAAAAAAAAGUGAUGGUUGGUAUAGGAUUAAAAGAACAAAGGUGAGUUGUAGGAAACAAAAUAAGGGUAGUAUAUUAUGAGGAUGAGGGAUUAGCAAGGUGGCUGGCAAGCUAAUACCAUCCCAAUUUUGGUUUUUCUUUUUUUUUUUUUAAUUUACUUAUUUUUUUGAAAAAUUUUUAAUUUAAUAAUUUUUUAAAUUUAAAAAAUGAAAAAAAAUGAAUUUUGGACUUAAACCCUUCAUGUCUAAACAUAAUACUUCUAAGCGUUAUAGCCCAAACAACUUAAACUAUUUGAAUUUGACUCUAAUCAAACCCGACAAAUAUAAAUGAAAUCUGAACAAAUAAUAUCAACUUAAUCGAGACAUUCAAAUAGUUUCGAGAUAAGCAUAAGAAAUCAAAAUUAUUCCACAUCAUUGUGAAGUUUUUGGAGUUUGGGUAUGCUAGUGUCGACUGUGAAGGCUUUCGGGUGUUGAUGGAUAUGGGUGAGGGGGUGGCUUGUUGGUUGAGUGGUGGAGUUUGUUCUUAGCUUUAUAGAGCAAUUUGGGAUCUUAAAAAGGAUUAGGAUGCCAAACAAUAAGCUAAUAGGAGUUUUAAGAUCAUGAGAAAAAAAAAGUGGUGGUUGGUAUAGGAUUAAAAGAACAAAGGUGAGUUGUAGGAAACAAAAAAAAGGGUAGCAUAUUAUGGGGAUGAGGAAUUGGCAAGGUGGCUAGUAGGUUGAUACCAUCCCAAUUUUGGUUUUUCUUUUUUUAAUUUACUUAUUUUUUAAAUUUUUUUAAUUUAAUAAUUUUUUUAAAUUUAAAAAAUGAAAAAAAUGAAAUUUGAACUUAAACCCUUCAAGUCUAAACGUAGUACUUCUAAGCGUUAUAGCCCAAACAACUUAAACCUAUUUGAAUUGGACUCUAAUCAAACCUAAUAGAUACAAAUGAAGCCUGAACAAAUAAUAUCAACCUAAUCAAAGCAUUCAAACCGUUUCGAGAUAAGCAUAAGAAAUCAAAAUUCUUCCACAUCAUUGUGAAGUUUUUGGAGUUUGGGUAUGUUAGUGUUGAUUGUGGAAGCUUUCAGGUGUUGAUGGAUAUGGGUAAAUGGGUGGCUUGUUGGUUGAGUGGUGGAGUUUGUUCUUAGUUUUAUAGAGCAAUUUGGGAUCUUGAAAAGGAUUAGGAUGUCAGACAAUAAGAUAAUGAGAGUUUUAGGAUCAUGAGAAAAGAGAGUGGUGGUUGGUAUAGGAUUAAAAUAACAAAGGUGAGUUGUAAGAAACAAAAAAAGGGUAGCAUAUUAUGAGGAUAAGGGAUUGGCAAGGAGGCUGGCAGGCUGAUACCAUCCUAAUUUUGGUUUUUUUUUAAUUUACUUUUUUUUUAAUUUUUUGAAUUUAAUAAUUUCUUUUAAAUUUAAAAAAUGAAAAAAAAAAGAAUUUUAGAUUUAAAGCCUUCAAGUCUAAAUGUAGUACUUCAAAGCAUUAUAGCCCAAAUAACUUAAACCUAUUUGAAUUGGACUCUAAUCAAACCCGACAAAUACAAAUGAAGCCUAAACAAAUAAUAACAACUUAAUCGAGACAUUCAAAUAGUUUCGAGAUAAGCACAAGAAAUCAAAAUUUUUCUACAUCAAAUACCCAACAGUAAAAUUUUGAAAAAAAAAAUGUAUGAAUUUUUUUGAACCAAAUGCCUCUAGGACAAAAUUAGAUAUUUACAAAAAUUAUAAACAAGCCAAGCAUUCUUUUUUUAGUUGCAUACUAAAAUAUAUUUUAACUCCAUUUUUAGGUUGGAUACUAUUUAAAAAUUUUCUUUGUGAAGUAGUCAUUUCUAUUUAUUAAUUUGCUUACAAAGGUUUUCUUUUUCUUUCAAGGAAAAGAUAAAAUUAGCUAACAACAUAAACUCUUAAUUCUAAUAAUUAGAGUUUAAAUUCUAAUGUCAGUAAAAAAAAAAAAAAGAUGGAUUAGGCUUGAUAUUAGGCUAUAUAUGACAAAAAAUUGUCCAGUCAAAGGAAAAUCAUCUUGCCGUUGCUUUUCUUGUCUCUACUAUUAGGGUUUGAUAAAAAAUUAUCUUAAAUAAUCUCUUACAAAAAAUUUAAUGGAAGUUAUUCGAGGUGUUUCUGACCAAAAAUAUCUUCAAUAAUCUCUUGCCUUUUUUUAUUGAAUUAUUCAAGACGUUUUUAGCUAGAAAUGCCUUGAAUAACUCUAUUUAAUUUUUUGUAAUGGAUUAUUGAAAACAUUUUCAUGCCAAACGUCAUAUAUAAACCAAUUUUUUUAGCAACAGAAAUCUAUAACUGACUUGUAUUCAUCUAAACAUGCUUUUUAAAAUGGUAAUGGUUAUUUCACAAUUUUUUAAUCAGAUCAAAUUUGAAAAUAAUGCUACUUUUUACUUCGAAAUCUUAAAAUAUCAUAAGAAGAUAUAAGUUUUUGAUUCUGAAACUUUAGGUACUAUUAAAAAUCUAUCAAUUUUUGUAAAAUCAGAUUAUCCUUAACCAAAUGUUAAAAUCAAAUAUCUAACAAUAAGCAUUCUCUUUUUAGUUGCAUACUAAAAUAUAUUUUAACUCCAUUUUUAGGUUGAAUACUAUUUAAAAAUUUUCUUUGUGAAUAGUCAUUUCUAUAUAUUAAUUUGCUUACAAAGAUUCUUUUCUUUCAAAAAAAGAGACAAAAUUAGCUAACAGCAUGGACUUUUAAUUGUAACAAUUAGAGUUUAGAUUUUAAUGUCAGUAAAAAAAAAAAAAAAAAAAAGGAAGAAGAAGAGGAAGAAGAUGGAUUGGGCCUGAUAUUGGGCUGUAUAUGACAAAAAUUAUCCAGUUGAAGGAAAAUCAUCUUCCCGCUGCUUUUCUUGUCUCUACUUCUAGGGUUUAACUCUCCAUCAACAUCAAAUUUAGGGGUUUUGUUUCUGAUUCUCUGAAAGAAAGAAACGGCGUACUAAGUACUAAUACUCUGCUUCUCUGAACAUUCAUUUUUAUUGAAUUAAUUAUAAACCCUAAGCCCAAACAGGAACAAGAGAGAUAAAGAGAAUGAAGGUGAAAGUAAUAUCACGUUCCACUGAUGAAUUCACACAGGAACGAAGCCAAGACCUCCAGAGGGUGUUUCGUAAUUUCAACCCCAGCCUUCGAACCCAAGAGAGAGCCGUUGAGUAUGUCCGCGCUCUUAACGUCGCCAAACUGGACAAGGUUAAAUAUCGAACUUUGGGAUUGAGUUAGUUUGGUUUUAUUUGAAAAUCGCUCACUAUUAUUUGAUCACUUUGUUUAGAUAUUUGCAAGACCCUUUUAUUGGAGCUAUGGAUGGGCAUAGAGAUUCCAUCAAGUGUAUGGCCAAAAACCGAAAUUACUUGAAAGCAAUUUUUUCUGGUUCUGAUGAUGGAGGUAAACAUUUUAACAUGCUAUUUUUAUUUUUUUUUUCAUUUUUAUCUCUUUAGUGCCAAAUACCAAUCCCUUCAUAUGAGUAAGUAACUGCAACUAAAACUUUUGAUUUUUUAUCUCCCAUCCUUUUUCAGAUAUUCGUUUUUGGGAUUUAGCUUCCAAGUAUUUCUACACCUCUUUGAUUGCAGCUUUGGUUAGUUAGGAUCUUAAUAUUUUAACUCCCCCUCCCAAUCUUUCAUCAAAUGAUUAAAUAAAUUAGAGCUUUGAAACAAUGCUAUUAACAAUUACUUUCUUUUUUUCAAUUUCCUCAUAGUACUACAAUGAUGGUAGCAAUAGUGGUUUCAAGAUCAGUUUAGUAACUCAUUUAUUCUUCUCCAUUAAUGCUUUUGUGGUGGUUUCAUACUGUUACUUUAUUAUUUAAAAUGCACUGUGAUUUACAUAUUUUUGAAAUUUUGAUUCAAAGGCAAAUAGUUUGCCAAUUUCCUGGUCACCAAGGUGCUGUACAAGGUUUGACAGUAUCGACAGAUGGAAGCAUUCUUGUAUCAUGUGGAAGUGAUUGCACGUAAGACAUAAAUUUUAAUAGUUAAAGUUUAUUUCCAGCAGGGAGUGAAUGCCGAUUAAGCUGCAACUUAAAUAGUUGUACUAUCUCAAAUUAUCACCUAAAUUUUCUCACUCCUUUAAUCUGUACAUUUUUUAGUGUUAGGCUCUGGAAUGUUCCUGAUGCUACUCUUGCAGAUCUGGAUAACCUUUCUGAUAAUUCAGCCAAGGUAUGUCUCUUUAUAUAUUCUUGUAUUUCUGCAAAGAAUACUUUAUAGUUUAAUUUUUUUUCUCUCCAAUUCCUACCCUAAACCCUAGCACUUCCUCUUUUUACUUUCUAUCUUCCCACCUUUUUACUUUCUAUCUUCCUUGACCAAGAAUUCCAGUGCUAUCAUUCUAAACUAACUAAAACUGGUAUUUUUCAACCACUGGCAGUUUAUGUUUGGAAGAAUGCAUUUUGGUAAGGAUCAUGACUUGCUAGAAAGUAUCUUUGUUCUUUUAGCCUUUUCACCUUAUGGGCAGUAGUUCGUGGGUUCUUCUCCUCUUUUUUAGGUGUGAACUAUAAUCUUUACUCUUUUUCAGGGCUGUUGAUCACCAGCAGGAUGGUGAUCACCUGGUGCUCAAGUAGAUAUAUGGAAUCACAAUAGGUUUUGAUCCCAACUUGUCUUAUUUUUUUACGUUUUUUUUUACCCUUCAGCAGUAUGCUGAUUUAUUUAUUUAUUUAUUUUAUGAGAAUGUGGCUUUCUGUAAUUAAGUCUCAGCCAGUGAACACUUUUGAUUGGGGAACAGAGACCACAAUAUCUGUUUGAUUUAAUCCUGGAGAACCAAAUAUUUUGGCAACAUCAGCUAAGUAUGCAUAGAAGCCUGCACCUAGAUCGAGUAUUAUGUGGUUAACACAAUUGGUUUGUGAUAUAACGAUGAGUUCAAACCUCUCAAAUUUUCUAAUCAUCGUAUGCUUCAUCCUAAGUUAAAAUAGACGACUGAAACAGAAUGAUAAUGUUCUGCUUUCAUCCCUUGAAUCAUAUAUUGAAGAUAAAAUUAGGAAGAGGUAGAGUGUAGUGAGAUCCAUAAUGUCAACUAGCUUGUUUUGUAGAGUGACCAAAGCGGUGUAUCCUUCCAAUGAUAUAUUUGGCUACCAUAAGGUUCUCAUGACUCUUUCUAUGCUAUUUUGUGAUCUUGUUUCCAAGACAUAGCAGCUAGGAAUAGUGUCAUAUGCUAUUAAUCUAUGCUUUCCAGUCACAAUAGAUGGUUAGGUAGUUGAAAAUAUGUUGAUUUUUUGUUUAUGGUCAAUUCUUAUUUGAAGAAACACGAUCUUUUAUAAUUGAUCUUGAAUUUGAUUUAUGCUAUUCUGUAAUUUAAGGGAUUUUUAUGGGUGAUAGUAGUAUGUCAUUAACUCUUGAAAUAGGCUUCUAGCUAGCAGUUUUCAAUUUAAUGCUACUUUUAGUUCAUAUUUUGCAUGAAGUUAAACUUCUGAACCUUAAAGUUUGAAGCUUGGUUGUUAAUAUAAUCUGUAAAUUAAAAGAAAAUUAUUCAAUGUGGUUGCCAAUUUGUUUACAUAAAGCAAUUAGCUAUGUAGAUUGAUGUGCAUUAUGCAUUAUGUAGUCUGUCUUUGGUAAUUUGAUUUAUCUUCCCUACCUUUAUUUUAUUUUGGGGAACUCGGUUGCCCUCCUGAAAAUGCAUUUACUCAUUUACAAUGUUUUAGCAUGUCAUACAAAGAGUAUAUGAUUAUUUACAUCCAUUUUUGUUUUUAAUGACCGGAGCAUAACAUUAUAUGAUUGCGGAUGUCAUCCCCUGCAAGGAAAGUUAUCAUGAGGGUAAUUCUGGACACAUUUGAGUUUGAAAACAUGGAAUCCUUAUUUUUUGCUUGAAAUGAUAAAAAUCAUAUCAUUUUUAUUGCAAAUCUAAAUUUUUUUGCUUCUUUUUAUCCAUUAUAAAUGGUAGGUUAUUGUCCUUAGAAAAGCUGCAGAACUUGUUACAUUUAGAUUUAAUAAAUUGGAAUGCAAUAGAGCUUAGCAAAUAUAGCUUUUAGUGGUUGUUACUUUAAACUUUGCAUUUAAGGAUAGCUUUCCAACAAUAUGUAUGCAUUUUUUGGUCAAUAACAAUUUUUAUUGCAUAUACUGAUAGCUUUCCAUCAAUAUUAAAAUCAGCACUUUUUCACAGGCAAUCUGACUUGUAUCUUCUUUUUUACAGACAAAAACCAAUUCUAUUGCUUGGAAUCCAAUGGAGCCUAUGAACUUCACUGCGGUAAGGGGAAACAAGUUGAAGAGUCUUUCCAUGAAACAUAUGUUGACAUUUUCUUAUAUGAGCUUCUAGGAUGUUUAAGAUUGAUGCCAAUUCUUCUCAGUAAUUGAUAAAUUUUGCAGCAUUACUCCCCCACCCACCCAAAAUAAAUAAAUAAAUAACACAGAGAAGAAAAGUAAGAGAAAGGAAAUGAAAGAAAAAAGGAACAAAACAUUUGUUCAAGAAAUCUCUUUCAUGAAUAACUCUUUUAAAUGCAGGCAAAUGAGGAUUGCAACUGCUACAGCUAUGAUGCUAGAAAACUGGACGAGGCAAAGUGUGUGCUCAAAAACCAUGUUUCUAUAGUGUAUGACCUGUUUUUAGGCUUAUUCUGGUUAAGUAAUCUAUUUUCAUGAAAAUAUUAAUUUCUCACCUUUUCCUUCCAGAAUGGAUUUUGAUUUCUCACCAACUGGUCGAGAAUUUGUAACUGGAUCUUAUGAUAGAACAGUGAGCUGUCUUUCUUUCUUUUUCUUUCAAUUUUAUGAGGAUUGUUUCUAUUCACCAAGGAUGUUGUUGGUUUCUUCUAUAUACAGGUUAGAAUUUUUCAGUAUAAUGGUGGUCACAGUCAAGAAAUCUACCAUACAAAGAGAAUGCAAAGGUUCAGUUUCCAAUCAUUUAGAUAAUAAGGAUCUUUCAGUUUAUUGAGUCUGUUUUCUUUAUUUCUGAUUGUUUUUCCUCUCCUUUUAGGGUAUUUUGUGUGAAGUAUAGCUGUGAUGCCAGUUAUGUCGUUUCAGGUAGUGAUAACACCAACCUAAGGCUCUGGAAAGCUAAAGCAUCAGAACAAUUAGGAGUAGUAAGAAUCUCUUGAUUUGACAUCACUCAUUGGAAUUUCUACAUUUAAAUCAUAUUUCUUAAUGCAAGAUAACUGAGAAAUUUGUUGAAACUGUCUUACCAACUGAGAAUCAACAUUUUUAACAGAAAGUAUGUGGCCUGUUUAGGCUUCAAACACAAACUACAGUAUUUAUUUAUUUCAUAAUUUUCUUCGGAUUCUAAUGGUUGCAUUCCAAACUCCAGAUGAUUUUAAGAGAGAUUUCUUUACAUAUUCAUUGUUGCAUUUCAUCCAAGAUGUGUACCUGAAAAGAAAUUUCUCUUGUUGCAUCUCACCUAAAAUUCAUAACUAUUCUUCUUAUUUCUUAUGCAGGUACUUCCAAGGGAAAAAAAGAAGCAGGAAUAUCUUGAAGCUCUUAAGAAUCGCUACAAGCACCUUCCUGAAGUCAAGCGUAUUGUGAGGUAAAAUUGAAAUUGAAGAAUUCUCAUUUCUUAACCCAUGACAAUUUCAAAACAUGCCCAUAUUGCCCUCCCUUUCUUGAGGAGUUCCCUUGGGGUGGGCAUUCAAAACUAUGCACUAGGAAAUUUAUUUAUCAAGCCUUGUUCUUUUCUUUCUAGUCUUUUGACAUGAUAUUAUAUUUUGUUUUAUUUGUAAGAUGAUAAAUGAACUUAAGAGCAGGAGAAAUUUUCAAGCUAUAUUUAAUGAGAACAAAUGAUCUUCGUAUUAGGUUCUUAAUGCUCCUGAAUUGGUUAUGAUUAUGCAGGCACAGGCGCUUACCAAAACCAAUUUACAAGGCCGCCAACCUCAGACACACAAUGAUUGAAGCAGAAAGAAGGAAAGAACAAAGAAGAAAAGCUCAUAGUGCUCCUGGAAGCAUCGUGACUAAGUCAAUUCGUAGAAGAAGAAUCAUCAAAUAGGUUGAGUGAGUUGAACAUUAACUUAUCUCCAGGAACUAUGCUUUGCACAUCAAUCAUCCCUACACAUCUGCUGUUAUCUGUAGUUCAAUGGCAGUAGACUGCAAAUCCCAAGUUCUAUGACGUUUGCUUUGAAUCCUCAGCUGAAUGUUGGCUGUAGCGAGAUGAAGCAGGAUCUUUUGUUUUUUCUUACUCUAUCUUAACAGUUUUGUCACACAAAAAGUUGUUGAUAUUUUUGUAAUUGGAAUGUUUAUCAUAAUCUAGUUAUGAAAAAUGGAUACUUAGAUUCCUUCAAUUGCAGUUGGCUUUUGCUUUUCUCAAUUCUCUUCUCCGUUUUGGCUAUUUGUAUCCAAUCAUUGUCUCCACCAUCAUAAGGUACUCGUUUUUUUGGUCAACAUAAAUUCUAUUUUGAUGCGAGAGUUGCUUUCUUCACGGGCCCAAAGUUAGUUAAACGGAUGUAAAGAAUAAACAUUUGCAAAUUGUUUCCUUUCUUCUUAUCGAUGCUCAUAAAUUAUUUAAAUUUAACUCAAAUAAAAUUUAAAUAAAAUUUAAAUUCGAUUUGAUUUGAUUAUUAUCAAAUCAAACUCAAGCAAUUUUAUUUAUUGAACAAAUAUAAUUUAAAAUUUUUAAUACUAACUUGAGUGACUUACAAUCUUAAUUGAAUUUUUACUUUUUAUUAUAUAUUUUUAUUGUGUUAAUUAAAAAAUUAUUAUUAUAUAUACUAGUUUUAAGUCUAUGCAUAACACAAGAUAAGUAAAUUAAUUAUAAUUUUAUUACAUAUUAUAUUAUUUAAAAUCAUUUAAUAUGCAGAACUUGGUUUUUGUAUUAUAAAUUUAUAAAUUUGUGAGAUAAACUUGAAUUUUCUUUUUGCAUCUUUAAUUUAUGAAAAUAGAAUACAUAUAUUUUCAAAGAAAAUAAAUAUUGUGAAAUAAUUGUUAUAUAUUAUUAAUGAUUUAAAUUAAUAAAGAUCUAAUUUCUACACAAAUAUAUCAAGAAACAUCAUAAUAAGAUAAUAUAUUAAAAUAUUAUUUCAAAUUUCCAAUUAUCGAAAUAUAUACUCGAUGUAGAAACAUUUACAGCUUUCUAUCAACGAAAAUGAAAAAAAGAACGCUUAUAAUAUAAUUAUUAAACAGAUACAAUACAAAGCACAAACCAAAAAACCAACUAAUUUUAUGCAGAAUUUUUUUUCUUAAAAUUGCAUUUUGCAAUUCUAUACCAAACAAAGUCACUCACUAUCUUUCAUUACUCUUUCUUAAUUUUUUUUUUUUCUUCUUCUUUUUCUUGAUUUUUUUUUCAAUUUAAGGCUAAAUAAAAUACAUGUAAGGAGAUUAAUGAAAAAAAACACAUCAAUAUGCUACUAAGAAAAUGAUUGAAAUAUAUGAUAUUAAUUUUCCAUACUCAUUCUUUUCAUUGAAAAUGUAUUUUAUAAGCUUACCUCUCUAUUGAGCUUUGUCAUUACUUUUUCAACUACCCAUGCUUUGAAAUAAAUUCUUUUAAUUUUUCAUUGCAAAAAGAAAAAAAAAUAAAGCAUAUAUAAUAUUCAUGAAAUUUGAAUCUCUUCAAGGGUUUGAGCCUUUUCCUCGUGCAUUGAAAAAGAAUUAUAACAAAAAAUCCAAAAAUAUUAUUAAUAUGAAAGAACAAUGUAGAUUAAUGUAAAAAUGAAUUGCAAAACCCAUACACAACAAUGAAAUAUGAAGCUUGUAAAAUAAAGUAAUUCAAUUCACAAUUAUAUUUACGUAUAUUAAAAUGAGUUGAGAAUAAAAUUAUUUUAUUAAAAAGAAUUGAGAAUAAAAAUUAUUCACGCAUGAUCAUAAAAAAAUAUUUUUUUUUAUUCAAUUCUCACUAAAUUAACGUACAUAUAGUGAGAUUUUGCUAGCUUAAGACCAAAAAAAAAAAAGGAUAUAAAAUAUUUCCAAAACAUGAUCGUGGAAAAAAAUAAGCAAAUAUUUUGGUUUUCUAUAUUUAGGGUUGCAACAAUUAGUUAAUUGAAAAAUACAUUUUAUUUUAUUUGAAUCAAAUAUGGCUGUAUCAAUUAAUCAAAAAUCAUUUUUUUACAUGAAAACCUAGAAAUAUAGUACCGUUAAUUACGCUUUGAUUAUAUUUUCUUAAAAAAGUAAAUAUAAUUAAUUUAAUCAGAAUCAAAUUAAUUAAGAAUUAAAAAUAAUUAAGAAAAAGAUUUAUCAAUAAAAUUAGUUUCAUCAAGAUCAAAUCAAAUUAAAUAAAAAACAUUAAGUAAUAGAUAUAUGAUAAUUAUCAAGGUUUUCCUGUGUUAAAAAAGCUAGACUAUCCAAUAGGAUAGUUUUUUUUUACCCAAAAUUUUUAUUUUUAUAUAUCUUAUAUAAAUAUAAGAUAUUUUAAUUAAAAAAAAUAUUGAUUUGUGGUUUAGUAAAUAACUAAAUGUUUAACAACAAAACUAAAAAAAAAAAAAAAAAGGGAGAAUGGAAAUAAAAAUGCAAAAGAACAUGUAAACUAUAGUAAAAAUGUCAAUUAAUAUCAACAUUUCUUUAUCUCAAUACAGAAGGAAAAAAAUUAAAAAAAAAAAUUUCAAAUAUACAAAAUAAAGCAAGUCAUGCUAUAAAACAACAACAAAUCUGCUAUAUAAUUAGAAAGAAUUACUCUAUCAUCGUUAAGUAUUUAUAGCCUAUAAAAAAAAAAAGAUAAAAACAGAUUUCGCACCAAUAGAAAAUGGAAAAUGCCCUAAAACCUGCACAUUUAUCAAAUCAAAAAAAAAAAAAAAAUCAAAUGUUAGAUAGCAAAUAGGUAUUAUUUAUCAAUUAUAUAUGCUAACUACAUAUAUUGUAGAAAACCUGGAAUUAACAAAGUUCCAUUAACCAAAUACAGUAGUGUACAUCAAGAAUAUUACAAUUACUUGGGUCAAAAGGAGAGAGUUAGCAAAAAGUGUACUAUAACGAAAUUGCAUAAAAAAAAAAGUGUAAUAUUUUUCAAUUUUAGCAAAGAAGAUAAACAAACCACUUACAUUUGACUUAUAAGAUAAAUUAAUCAAGUUUGAAAAAUAUUGUAUUUUUUGUGGUUACACUUAAAUCUUCAAGUUGGAGGCGAAAUUUCAUGAAAUAUUUGAGAAUUUUUGCAUCAACCAUGACCGAACAAAUAGAGAUAAAAAAUUAUAAAAAAAAAAAAGAGAUACGAAGUGAUAAAAAUAAUUAUUCUAAUUCAAACUGUAAAAAUAUUGUAAACAAUCAAAUUAAGUUUUCAUUUUCAUUACAUGAUAAAGGUAAAAAAUUAAAACUAAUCAAAGCACUCCUAAUUUGAAAUAUAAAUUAUUAAACAAAUACUAAGUGAAUUAGGUGGGUGGAGCUUUACCUAGAUGCAAAGCCAAUGCAUUUGAAAAAUAGCCUCUCAUGCAGUUUAACAUAUCAAGAUGCCCUAUUUAUAGUAGAAAAUUUUUAUGGGUAGAACAUAAUCAAUAAAGAAGCUUUAUAUAAGUUCUAAUUGCAUAUUCAUUUAGGCAUAAUUUAUAUAAAAAAAUUUAGGCAUAAGUUAUGCAAACCAAUUAUAAUGAGUUUUUUUUUUUUUUUUUGAAAAAUUUUCGACUUGUUUAUGUUUUUGUUCCGAAAAGUCCAUACCCAUAACUUAAGAUUUGAAAUUUUAUAUUGAAAGAUAAUGUUUAUUGAAAACUAAUUUGUUAAUAAGCUCGUAAAUAUCAACUAGAAGAAACAAAAAAAUAUUCACCGUUAAUGUGCUUUCUUCUUUAAUUUUAAUUUUUUGUAUUAAUGAUCAAAUUAAUCGUAAUUCACUCACAGAAAGCAAGGAUAUUAGAUAUUCAAAACAAAUAUAUGUAAUUCAUUUAAUUAAAAUAAAUUAUUUUUAAAAAAUGUAUUAAAUUAAAUUAAAUGUGUUAAUUAAUAAACACAUAGCUCUAACGUAGAAUAUCCAACAUGUUAAAAAAAUAAAUAUCCACAUAAGACAAUUAUCAUUUUUGUCAACGGCUUUAGCUUUUUAUAUAUUUAUAUAAUAUAUUUAUUUAAACUCAAAUACAAAUAAUUGAAGUUAAAAUUAAAUAUGAGAUUCAAAUUUUUUUUUUUUUUCAAAAAACAAGUUUAUUUGAAAAAAUUCAAAUAAUUUAAUUUUUAUUUAAAAUCAAAUUCAAACUUAAAAAUUAAAAAUCAAUCGAAUUCAAAUAAAAUUUUGAAUCGAUUUGAAAUUUCUCGAUUCAACCCGAGUACAUCCGUACCAUGGAAGUUCUUGUAUUAUCCAAAUGCUACAAAGCAAAUUCAUCCGGACGUGACCGCUAGAAUCAAGGCCAUCACCACUAGAAAGAAACAAUAGAUGGCAAAAGAAGAAAAAAAAGACAUCAAUAGUUUCACCUUUUAAAACAUACAACAAAAGCCUAAAACCAAGAUAUUGAGACAGCAGCAGGCAGGAUUUGCAGAUCAUCAAUAGUAGCGAGGAAAACUUCCAAUUUUGUCCUAAAUAUGGUCCAGCACCUCUUACAAAAUACAUAAAAAUACCAAAUGUUAUUCCAGAUAUUACACUAUAUAUAUAUAUAUAUAUAUAAUAAAGUCCCAUUAAGGUCAUGUUUCCGAUCAUCUAUCAUCCUCAUCAUCCAGAAUCACCCACUCUCCCGGAAACGUGGAUUCUUCUCCUGUUGGGUCAAAAUAGAGGUUUAAAGCAUGCAACAAAAAGUAUUGAUUAUACAAUUUGUCAUACAAAGUGAAAAGGAAAUGGAGAUUUGAAAAUGCAAUUAGCAUCCUUGCAUUUUUUAAUCUUUUUUCCUUUUAAUUUUCUCCCUUUCCCAUAUUGCAUUUUUCCUAAAGCUUAUCUAUUUCCAUCCCAAAGUAUCUCCUGACUAGCAGUGUUAAUAAGCUAAUAUACUCAGUGAAUUACUCAAGCUUGGCUCGUAAAUCACUCAAACUUGACUCCAACAAUGCUAAGGCAAGCUCAAGUUUGAGUAGCUUGAAUUAUUGAAUGGUUCGAGCCUAGUAUCUUAAUGCUCGGGUCAAGUAGCUCAUAAGCUUAUUCAAGAUUUUUUAUUUUAAAAUUUUUUACUAUAUAUUAAUAUUAUAUAUAGAUCAUUUUUAAUUAUCUAUGAAUAACUUUAUCCUCGGUAUAUAUAAGAAAAAAAUUAAUUUUCUCUCAAUUUGAGCUUGAGCUUGAAUAUUCAAUAAUCGAGUUUGAGGUCAAAUAUAGUAAUUGAACUUGUAAAUUUUACUAGGUUACGAGCUUAUUCAAGUGAGCUUGAGUAACUCAAUUUCCAUCUCGAAUCGAGCUCGAGUUAGAAAAAUAGAUCUUGAUCGAGCUCAACUUGAACUUCAAGCAAUGACCUUCAAGUUGAGCUCAAAACUUUUAGUGUUUUGGCUCGACUCGACUUAAUUACACCCCUACUCCUGACAACUAAAACAAAGGAACAAGUGCAAGUAGGGGAUACCAAUAAUUCAAAAUUUAUUGAUCAAACAAUAAACUCUUCAUAGUGCUAUUAAGCAUUACCGGUCUAGAAUCAUGGUCUGAAUCUCUCCUGGGUUCAUGAUCUGAAGUUCUCUUUGAGGACUCGCGUGCAUAGCGGUCAUCAUCUCGAUGUCGCUUCCGAUGGUAAUCUACUUUAUGGACAAUUAGUCAAAUAUAGGAAUAGCUCAAACAAACAUAUAUAUAACAAGAAUAAUUAGACGUACUAUUCAAAGGUAUAUACCUCUCCCAUGACGAUGAGAACCUCCAUGGCCAUGGCCCCCACCAUGCCUACCAUCUGCACUUACAAGAUGUCAGUAUGUUUAUCUCCUUUCUGAGCAUAUUAACACCCAAAACAACAUGAGAUGCACAUUAAUGGACAGAAAAGCCUAUAAGCAAAUAAUAAGUUAAAUGGUAUCCAGGAGAUUGACUUCAGUACACAGGAUUAAUCACACAGGGAUCAAGUGAUAUCGGUAAUGAAUUUUUCUGGUAAACUGAGAAACAAAAGAAAUAAAUAUACCUAACUGCCAAAAGCACACAAUCUACAAUCUAUCAAGAAUAUGAUCAUAAGUACAGUUUUGCCAAAUAUGUUCCUAAUUUACAACACACCUCAAAGGAGAGGGCAGCCAUUUCAAAUAGACCUUGAACCUUCCUUUCUGCUGAUUAUCAUUUUACAGUUUCUGGUUAAAACUAUUUGCUUCUCUUUUUCUUGGCUCUUUGAUAUAUAGCAUGUAGUCUAAGCAUGUACUAUUGUACCAACAGGAGUAAGAAUAGUAGAUUUGACAAAUCAUAUUAGAUUCUGCCAUCUAAACUCACUUUCAAACAUUGCUAGUAAAAUAAAUAAACUUGCAGCAUUUCUCCAAACUAACCAGUGAAUGCCCGUUUCUCUCCCACAAACAUUUAAAAUGAGCAAUAGGCAACCUUAAGGCAAAAGAAAAAAGGAAUAAUUCUAACUGACAAGCUAGAGAUCCAUUUCUAACAGUCAUUAGAAACUCACAAUGCGCAGGCACAACGGGUGGGAAUGGGCCCAGUGACCCAGCACCAUAAUCUACAAGCUGUCUUUGUGCUUCCAACUCUCUCUGAACUAAUUUUCCGUAGCCACCUCUGCGUAAAGCAUGUUAAGGGAGGAGACCAUAUAUAUAGACAAAAGACAUGCUGAAGAGACCUCGACUCUUUAGAUUUGGAAACAAGUGACUAUCCAAAAUUAUGAAUCAAUAUUAGACUUCAUUAUUCAUAAAUAUGCAUCUUUUGUGUGUCUGAACAAUAUAAGAAAUUAUGAGCAUCAAAAUUCAAAAAUAAAAGCCGAAAGGAUAUCAGGAUCAUAAUCAGUUCGAUAUUCAUCUCGCACCUGCAAAAAUAUAAAACUAAAUCAAUUCAUAUACUAGAAAUAUAAAUUUGGCAACACUCUCCAUCUCAUUUUACAUAUCUUAAUUCCAUAAUAUACAAGUCCAAAACUAUACAUCCAAUUCGAAGACCUUCUCUUUAAAAUGUGCAUUUGGUCAAACAUUUGUAAAAUUGUAGGCACAAUAAAAGAACUCACUUGGCCACCACUUCGACCACGGCCCCAUUGCCUUCCUUCAACAAAACCCCAAUCAAAAUCUACACGAAUCGGACGGUCGUCAAGAAUUGUCCCACUAAUGUAUUUAACGGCAUCCUCUGUAUCUUCCCUAGAAUAAUACCUGAUGAUGAAGAAAAAAAAAUCCAACAGCAAAUUAAUAGCUUUAAAAUAAAGACAAAGAUUAACAUGUUCUAGGGGGAAAAAAUGAACAGAGAGUUACAAGACAAAGCAAAAGCCGCAAGGUGUUUUAGAGUUCUUGUCGAGGCCCAUGAUUAUUUUCUUAAUUUCACCGGCUCGUGAGAAAAGCUCGUAAACUUGUUCUUCAGUUGUGUAAAAAGACAUGUUUCCGAUAUAGACGGUUGUGGAAGUAAGGAGUGCUUGCUCGAAAUCCUCUUGCGUACCAUUAAAUCUUCUGUCCCGGUACGCUGAAAGCUUAGCUGGGUCCUAUGAUUUAACCCCAACCAACACCCAAAUUUAAAUAAUCAGAAAAAAAUUAUCACUAAUAAAUACCUUUUGAAAGAAGCUGGGAAAGUGAAUAAUAUACCCUGAACAGAGAAGCCAUUGCCUUCUUCAAAUGCUCCCAAAAAACCGUAUUUUCUGCAGGUUGAGGUUUUGCCCUUGAUAAACAGUACAAGCGCAUAACCCUCGCCUUUUUGCAGCGAAAUUGGGCCGUACCGUAUAAAAAAGGUUUGUUGAAGCCUUCGGCCCAUUUUUUACCCACUCUGCUUAUUUGGAUUCUCAAAGCCUGGUAAAAAAUUGCGUGUUAUAGUGGGGAUAGUAAGAUUAAUUGUUAUAAUGAUGAAAUUAAAAAUAAGAUUAAAAUUAAUUAGAUAUCAAUCUGUGUCUUUAUACAAAAAUUUUUUGUGUGCGUGUACGAGAUAUCGAAUCUUACAAAUUUCCUAGAAUGUAUUAUAAAGAUAGAAUUAAAAAUAUCUAAAUGUAUUAUAUUUGUGUUUAUGUACCAAAUAAAAGAGAUUAAAAGUUACGCAUACAAAAAAAUUUGGUGAAAGAUUAAAAACUAAUAUUUCUUUUUCUUCGAUUCAUGCAUCAUAAAAUUCCAAUUUCAUGCUAAAAAGAUAAAAAUACUAACCAAUAGAGAAAAAUAACGAAAAAAAAAAAAAAAAAAAAAACUCCCUACCUGUAGCUACAUUAUAUUAGCAUGGUUUUCCAUCCAUGCUCAAUUCUCGGAAAAAGCUUCUUUCAAAAUUUUAACAUAUAAAUUUAUAAAUCUACAAAUAAAUACUUAAAAUAUAAAAAAAAAAAUACUUAAACCAAUGAGACAAAGUAAAAGAAGAUAAAUAAUUUACUGCUAUGAGAUCAUUGAGAAUGGCUUGUUUUGAAGUUGCAAUGAUUGAUAUUGCAUAAAGUUUGAUAUGUUAGGCAAGCUUUUCAUCUUGAUCUCCCAGCUAUGAAAAUUAUAAAAAAAAAAAAUCAUUAUAUCUCAUGUUUUUGGUACAUGUGCAUAUAUGUGUACAAUCCUUUUUCCUAGCUUAUUUAAAAUUGUAAAUAAAAAAUAUCAUUUCACUUAUUCUUCAAGAAGAAGUUUAUUUGCAAAAAUUAAAUCAACUUACUUAACAAUGUAUUAAUACUCUCACACUAUGUUUGGAUUGAGGAGAGGGAAAGGAAAGAAAAGGAAAAUAAAAAAAAGUAAUGGAAAUAGAAAAAAAAAUUUAUUUAAAUAAACGUUUAAUUUAAAAGAAAGAAAAUAGGUGAAAAUCAAAUAACCUUUAGUUUAUCUUGUAAUCUUUACUUUUUUAAUACCUCAAUUCAUAUUUUUUAUAACAUUAGAUUUGAUUAUAUAACUAAUACCUUUUACAAAGAUAAUUUCUUUUUAUGAGUAUUUUAUAUAAUAUCACAUUUUAUAAAUAUUUUAUAAUUUUUUAGGUCUUAACAACAAAACACGCCAAUUUAUUGUUAGAAUAAAUUAAAAGGUUAAAUUAAAUACAAAAUUAAGAGUAAAUCAAUAACUAGUUAAUAUAUCUUACCAUAUUAAAAAAGUUUAAUUUUAUUUCGAAAGAUUUGUUUAUACAAGUUAGGUAAUAUAAAGAUAUAUUUGUAUAUUAUAUGUUACUUUAUUAAAAAAUUGUUAUAAUUGAAAAAAAUUAUUAUAAUGAAUUAUUUCAUUUUUUUUUACUAUUUAUCCAAGUAAUGGUUAUUAAAUUUUUUUUCUUAUUAUUAAUUUUAACUAUCCAAAAAAUGGGUACAUGUAUCAUUUUCUUUCCUUUAAAAAAAUUUUUUUUUUUUAUUAAUAUCUAUCCAAACAUAGCAUCAAAGAAGGUGGAUAAUAAGAGCCGAAGGAGGCUUAGCCCUCUAACAUUUUUAAAAACCUUUUACUCCUAUAUAUACUUAUAUUAAAUACAUUUAAAUUAUUUCUUAAAUUAAAAUUAUAAAUUUUUUAAAUAAUUUUAUUACUUAAUCUAUGCAUUACAAUUUAAGAGGUAUUUUAAAUCACAUUGAUAUUUAUAUGUUUAUUGUAUUUAAAUAUCAUUACUUGUAAAUUCUUAAAAUUAAGAGAUUUGCCAUAAAUUUUAAAUCACAACCAUAUAAACUUAAUAUAAGUCAAAUUAAAGUUUUAAUUUUUUCGAUAAGAUUCUAAAUUUUUUAUAAGUAUCAAAUGUGUUUUUCCUUUUCUUUUUAUCUUUUUUUUUGGUGUAAGAAAGACCAAACCUAAGAGAUUUACGGAAAGAGAUAUUGCAAUUUUUAAGAAUUGAUCUCUAACCUUCUUUUAGCUUACUUCAAAUUUUCCUUCAUAUCAUUUUUCACUUUUAUUUUUAUUUUAGAUUUAUAUAUCAAGUUGUUGUAUUUUUUUCAACAAAAAAAUUUUAUAUUGGAACUAUUUUACAAAAGGAUAAAAAAAAUACCACAACUUUUAAUCUCAAAAUUUUAUCAUCAUUUUUUUAAGAGUAUAUAUAAUUUUUUUUUAUUCGAUAAUAUGUUUAAUAAUUGAUUUAUUCAUAUCUCUUUUUUUAUUUCAAUUUUAAAUUGCCAAAAAAUAAAAAAUUCCCAUAAUUCAUUAAUAAAUUGUGUAAUUAGUAAUUCUAUUAUUAAUUGUAAAUCCUAUUAUUAUUAUUAUUAUAAAUAUAAUAUUGUCAUAAUAAUAUUUUUGUUUUAUAAUUUUAUGAACUCAUCAUAUUUUUAUUAAUAUAUUAUUUACAUUAAUAAGUAUGAUAGAAUUUUUCUUUUUGAAAAAACAGUAUAUCAUAUAUUAUUAGUUGGUUCCUCCAAAACUAAACGUUGAGAUGCGUUACUGAAUACUCUUAAUUAAAUGAAAUGGGGGUGAGAAGUGACACAGACAAAAUUUUACUUUUGACAACCAAAAAUUAAGAGUUUUGAUGUCUCACUUAUGCUUUACAAUAUCUAUUUAUUCAUUAAAUAGGUAGAAAACAACUGAUUGCAAUACUCAAGACUUGUCACCUUUUGAGUUUUGACAUAAACUUCAACAUUAUCAUCCAAAAAAGAAACAGACUUAAUUAACAUGUUAAAAAUCAGUAUAAAUUAGCAUUUUGAAUAAUACAAAAAAAAAAAUUACCAACCUAAUAUCAUUACACUUGAACUUGAUUCUUUAUGGGAAAUAAAAACCUUAUGCAUUAUAAAACUCCUUAAGACAAAGUGCAGUGGAAUGCAUGAGAAAAUCCCCUUCACUACCAUUCUAUACCAUUGAGCUUAGAAAGGAAACCAUCAUUCUUAACCUAAAAUUGCCAAAUCCACAACUAAUGCUUGUAAAUUUUAGGGAAAAAACAAAAUCUAUUUCAAUCACUUCUAUCAACUCACUAUCAAUCACGAAAUAAUAUUCCAAAAAGUUUUCGUAGAAAUAUCUUAAAAACUAAAAUUUGCUACAAUCUUAAUUUGAAAAUCAAAUAUUAAUUUCACCAUUCAUCAAGAAAAAAGACUAAAGAAUCAAGAAAAAUCCAUAAUUUUGUUUCCAACAAACCUCAUUUUUUUUUCAUAUGAAUCAUACACAAAAGGCUAAAGAAAUAACAAAAACCCAUAAUUUCAUAUUUUCACAACAACCAAACCAAAAAAGUUUUAGAAAAUUUUCAUACAAACCUUAAACAUUUUCAAAGGAAUUAGCAUAUCAUAAGCCAUUAAAAACUAAAAUGAAGCAAAAUCGAUAAUGUGGCAUUAAGAUAAUUGCACAACAACACAUGUUAACUCGUCACAUGACUUUCAUGCAUGAACAAAUAGCAUUCAAUUGGCAUAUUAAUUGAAUGGAAAAUGAUUCUAUGAUAAAAAAGAACUAUUAAAUUACUAGAAGACUUAAGUUUAAUAGUUAGUAUAUUGAUAUGAAUAUUUACAAUCAAGUUUAAAAGUGAAAUUAAUAUGUUAACGAAAUUGAAAUGGUGUAAUGGAAAGCAACCAAUCAACUCAAAAUAUUUACAAUCAUGCAAACCAAACUAAAAAAUUCCAAUCACAUUUCCUAGAAAAAUCAUGGAUGAUAGCACAUUAAUCCAGUCAAUCCAAAAACCAAGACAUGAUAAAAAUUUUCAAUUUGAACAUUUAAACAUGCAAGAAAGCAAUAUUUCAAAAUUUCCUUCCCUUUCACCUAUUCAUCUCACAAACUCAGACUACCAAUUGUGAUAAAAUCAAUAACAAAAAAAAAUGAAAAACAAAAAACAAAAGUAAACAAUAUAAACAUUCACAUCAACAAGCUUGACAAUGGUAUUCUCCUUAACAAUCUUCAUCCAAGGAAACUAUCCUACUACCACUUCUCGAAAUGCCUUAGUAAUUAGCAAACUUUUGCAUUUGAAUUUCCUGUUGUUCACCAUUUAAUUUCUAAUUUUCCAAACCAAUAAAAAAAUAAUAUAACUAGGGAUGUAAAUGAACCAAAUAUGAAUGAGCGAACGUAUAUGUCAUAAUGUAUAGAUCUAUAGACCUAUAACUAGACUUGUCUUAAGGAGUCACUACCAAUUUUUUUUAUUUAGGUGCGAUUGGUCACUUAACUAAAUCUUUUUCAUUUUAAUGAGAAGUCUCAAGCUUAACUUAGGUAUCUUUAAAAGGUAGAUUCCAGUUUACGAAAUCAAAACUAGUUUCGAAAGUACGAUUAUGUGUAAAAAAUGUUAUAGCACCCUUAUAAUACCCAUGCAAAGAAUGAUAUCAGUUUGAUCUCAUGUUAUCCAAAGCCUUAAAAAUCUUAUCAAAUACUUAGUUAUUAGAAAUUGUCUUAAAAUUACUCCAAUAUGUUAGUAAUAAUUUUAGGACAUUCCCUUACCUCAAAAUUAUUCAAGGAGAUUAUUUGUAACACUUUAAAGAGGCUUUGUCAUCGAAUUUAUUUAAUUUUCAUAAAAAACUUUUAUACGUGAUAAAUGGGAUUUUUAGGAAUCUUGGUAUUGAAAAUCUUUUCUAAAUUCUCCAAUAUGUUGGUAAAAUUUAGAAAGAAUUUCUUAGCUAAGAAUUUACAUAGAAAUUGCUAUUUGUAAUGCUAUUUGUCACUCUAUCAUCAAAGAUUCAAAAUCUAGAAAUACCCUUCAAUAUGUUGGUAAAAUUUUUUGUCAAAAAUUAUCUUCCAAUAUGUUGGUACAAUUUUAUGAAAACUAGUACAUAUGUAUUGAAAAUCUUGGUAUUGCACUUGGAGCAACAUGUGGGUCCUUCCAAAAAUUCAUUCCAAAAUGACACUAUUUGGGGUCGCAUAUAAAAGGCUAAAAUCAAUUCAUUAUUUCAUUUUUCUCUUUUGCUUUCUUUCUUUACCUUUAAUUCUCUCUUUUCUUUCUCUAAGAAGUAGAUGAACACUAAUCGAAAGCUUCAAAAGUUUUUAGAUUUUGAUGAAGUGCCACCAUCUUCGUCAUCAUCGGCCAUCAUGCUUUACAGUUGACCGACCACCAUUGAGGCCUAAAUUUCACUAAGCAACUUGUUUUGAUCUCUUUUUUUACAUGCUUUAGCUAGUCUUCUUUAAAACUUGAUAGAUUUAUGCGGAUCUGGGUGUAAAAGUUAUGGUUUCCAACUUCAAAAUCUUUUUCCCCGUUGUGCUGAUCAUAGUCGCUUCAAGGUAUGUUCCUUUUUUUGUUACUGGUUACCUUUUCACUAGAUUUGGGGACUCAAAAUCCUUUGGAAGAAGGUUGAACCAAAAUCCAAAAACUCUAUUUUUCUUUCUCUUUAUUUUUACCGUUUUUGGCUUUCUCUGGUUCUUGACUUUAAUUCUUUUUUUUAUGAUUUAUUUAUCAAGGAUUUUGGUAAGAAGUUAAUGAUGAUAUCGAAAAGGAUUCAAGUCUUGACAAUGGGAAGUUGGCUAUUGUGCUGGGUGUCAAUUGCUUUGGCUUUCGUUUAGUGAUUGUGGGUGUUUAUUGUUUACAGGUUUAUGACUUCUUGAGAACUAGGUUUGUUUUUUGAGUUUCUGGAUUAUGGCUGGAAUUAUGGUUAUUUCUAAGUUAUGAGACUAUUGUUAUUAGCUUAUGAUUUCCUGGAUGUUCGUUUCAAUUGAAUUUGAGAAUGUGGUUGGGUUUGUCGUGCACUCUGUGUGUGUGUGUAUGGAAGGUUUUGUGAUAGAGGAUAUGGCAAUGGUAGGUUGCUAGUUGUUUGGAAGUUAGGUCUAGGUUUUGGUUGGAAAAUCAAUAUUGGCAAUGUUACAAGUGAUGGUGGUUUUUUAUUGGGAUUUUGCUGAUGGGUGGCUAACUAUGGUUCUUCUGUGUGUUGCCUAUUUUUGUUCAUUAAUUAGUGUUAGAUUCUUUGUUUGUUUUUAUUUAAAUAGGAUUGAAUGAUAGAGUCCCAGAUCAAUUAUGAUCAGAUUUAUUUUAAAUAAAAUCAAGGAUUAUCCCUAAGACUAAUCCUAAAUUAUUUCUAAUGUGUUUUACCAUCCAAAGAUAACCAUAGCCAAUUUUAAAAAUUUAAAAUUUUCAUUUUUUUAAAAUAAUCAAAUGAUUAAGGAUAAAAACAAAAUAAAUCAAGAUACAAUAGGAUAAAAUAAAAUAAAAUAAAAUGAUAAGAUACAAUCCAAAAUAAAAAAUUUGUAAAUUCAAUAAUUGGAUCCGAAAUGGUCUAAGCAUAAAUUGACUUUGGCCCUGGACUAUAUAAGAUGUCUAUAGUUGUCAUUCCUUAUGCAUUUUUUACGAAACAAAAAUAAUGCAAAGAUAUAGGCAUCCAUUACGUCUGGUGUAGCUUAACAACUAUUACAAAGUUUCAAAACUUCAAAGAUUCACAAUUUGAAGUGUUCAAGAACUUCGUAAUCUGACAAUUUGCAAUGUAAGUUGAAACUCAAAGAUCCGCAAGGUUCAAAGAUUCGCAAGGCUUUCAGAUUCAUAAGAAUUUUUAGUUUUGUAAGAAUUUUUAAAUUUGCAAAAAUUUGAUUAUCAAGAAUUUUAGGUUAACAAGAAUUUCAUAUUCAUAAAAUUUUAAUAUUCACAAGAACUCAAAUCGUAAAAUUUUCAAAUUCACAAGAAUUUAAUUCUCAUAGAUUUCAAGUUCGCAAAAAUUUUAGAUUCAUAAGAACUUUUAGGUUCGCAUGAAUUUUCAAAUUCACAAGAAUUUUUAGUUUUGCAAGAGUUUGAUUCAUAUCCAAAUUCAAUUUAGUGAUUCACAUCAAAAUUUUAAGGCUUACAUCCAACAUUUAACGAUUCACAUUCAAAAAUUUUAGAGAUUCUCAUUCAAAGUUUCAAGGUUUACAUACAAAAUUCAAAAAUUCACAUUAAAAAAUUUUAGAGAUUCAUUCAAAAAUUUUGAUUUGAAAAACUUUAGGGAUUCACAUCCAAAAUUUUCAAAAUUGUCAUUUAACACUCAAAGAUUCUCAUUUGAAAAUUUUUAAAGAUUAUGUCUGAAAGUCUUAUAAAUUAUUCUCAAUAUUGAAAAUGCUCCUUUAAAAGGCUCCACAACUUUAAAAUUCUAAAAGUUUUCCAUAUAAAAUAUUUUCUUUAUCUGAUGAUUCACAAUCUUAUCUUAAAAGGCUUUCCUCUAAAAGUUUAAAAUUUUUUCUCAUGAAAAUUCUUGAUUUUUCAUCAAAGUCAAAAUUUUAUUAAUAAUGAUUGCCAUGCAAAUGCUUUCUAAAUUCAAAUUCUGACUAAAUAAUACAAAUGCUUGGUUCAAACAAUGAUGCAAGUGCAACAUUCAAAACAAUGGUCUAUAUACUCAAUAAUGCAAACGAAAUACAUGAAAUGUAGAUGUCACCAAAAUUAAUGCCAUGAAAUUUCAAUUAGUUGUGAUAAUAAGGUUCUCAAGACUUCAUCAUCUCGCAUUUUCUUUUUAACUUCUCAACACUAACAAUCUCAGAACAACUUUCAUCAAUUGAUCCACGUUAUUUAUCAUUUGGUUACAACUCACAGGUUAUAUUGGUUGAUCCAUCGCCAUAUUCACCACUUGGUCACCAUCUUUGCAUUUUUAAAUUAUCUUUUCAGGCUCCUUUCAUCUUUUUCAUUUUCUUUUUGCCCCUAUCAUCUUGGAUUUCUUUUCAAAGGAAUGCAAGAAUCUUUUAUAGAUUAUCAUUCAUUCAUUCAUUAUCAUUUCAAUUCAUGAUAAAUAUAAUGCAAUCAUAUAUUUUCUUGAUUUAUUUCAGGAAUGCAAAAAUGAGAAAGGACAAAGAUGAAUUGAGAGAAAAGGUAAUCAAUACAAGAAUGAGCCUGAUAUAAAAAUAAAUAGGCAAAGGAACAAAUUCAAAGCAUGUCACUAGGAUAAGAAUUUGAAUGGUACAACAAUGUCGAAAAAAUAAAUAUUUAGAUAAUUCUUAACAUUAAUCUAGAAUUAAAAAAAAAAAACUUAUUUCAUUGACUUUUAAAAUCAUUUUGAGCUUAUCAAAUUUUGUCUCAGUCUCAAAUGAUCUUCAGAUGACAUUGAUUUUUCAUAUAUUUAACUAUCCAUGUAAUUUUUAGCUUAGAUAUUUUUUUAUUGAAAUCACCCUUUCGGAUUUUCGAUUUGAGUUUUUCUUUUCUUUUCUUUUCUUUUCACAAUUUUUUUUUCAAUUUUUUCACUUUUCUCAUUUUUUUCAUUUUUUAUUUUUUUUACUUCAUCCAUUAUUGAUAUCUCACACACACCAAUCUCUAAAACACAAGAACAUAUCACAAUUCCAUUGCUUCAUUUGAAGCAUGCCUUAGCUUAAUAUAUGAUCAUUCAAUUCAAGCAUUCACCUUUGAUCAAAAUGAACUUUUAAGGGUUGUUAUAUAAAUUAAAAGAGUCAUGAAAAAAAUGGAUAAGAUAAGCUCAAAGCAUAUGUUUAAAGGAUUCAAACCAAAAAAUCAUUUCUCUAUCAUAUGAUGUAACUUGGCACUUUGCCCCAUUAUUCAUCAUCUCAUUUUUCUUUUUCUUUUUUUCAUUCAUCUUAUUCCUCAAAAAAAUUCUCAUUUUUUUUGCCCUAGGUGAUUUAUGGCAUUGUUUUUCCUGUUUUUUUUUUUAUAAAAGGGGUUUUUCUUCUUUUUUUUUUUACUUUCCAUCUUUGAGAUAUUUUAUGAUCUUUUACUUUUUUUCUUUAUCAAGUAGAUUCUUUUCCAAAAUUUGCCUCCAAUGUGGAGGGUGAUCCUUGAUUAGGGUUCUUUUAGGAAAAAAAUCAUAACAGGUACAAAAAAGGGUAGCAACGGAUGAUAUUAUUUUUAUGAAUAGUAAAAAAAAGAUAGACAUUCUUCACCUUAAAUGUGAAUACUUUCUUUGAAGAUCAUUUAUUGAAUAAAGACAAACUCAUGGAUUAUUAUAAAUGACUGCAUACUUUUUUAACUCUAUUUGGUUCUUUAUAGAUUGAGCUCAUCAAUGUGAAGGAGUUUUGAAAAUUAAAUCCCAGAAUUAUUGUUAUCUUAUCUAAACAUUCAUCAUUUGAAAAUUGAGAAAAGGAAAGAAAAAAAAGGAAAUGACAAGGUAUAGAAUAGUGUAGACACCGAAUUUUAUCUGAGUUCUCCGGACUAGGCCUUGAUUUUUAUUUUUAUUUAAUUUUAUUAAUAAAAGAUAAAAAUAAUUAUAUUAAAAAAAAAAGACAGGGUAGGUAUAGUGCUGUGCACAGCACCAACCUAACCAACCUACCCUAAACCCUAACCUCCCUGACAAUCAACUACCCUUACCCUGCACCAUACCCUAUUUCCCCCACUCCAUUUGCUGCCAUCCCUGGCAGUGUGGAUCAUGCUAGACUGGUGGGAGAAACAACCUGUUGAGCCUUAUAAAUAUCACUCCAAAGAACCAAAACAAAAAAGACCCUUACUUGAAACUCUGCCUAAAAACUUUGCCAAAAACCACUAUUAACUCCCUGGCCAAACUCACCAUUGCACCAAGGUUCAUUCAACCAGCUCUUACAAUCUUUUACCCAUUUUUCAACAAAAACCAAACACCUUAAAAUUUUCCAAAGCCUUCGAACAUAGCCCCAUAAACCAUUCCACUACUAAAAAUCCCAGCCAAAUAAACCCAAUGGCAACUACACUAACCUACCAUCGCAACCCAUGAAACACUUAAGCCCCAUUCAAGCCCUACGCUAGUCCUUGCCAUAUUUGAGACCCAAAACACCAGAAAAACCUAAACAAAAAAAAUCCAAAAAAAAUCAAAGAAACAUAGUCCUUCCCUAAAAGAAGAACUUUAGUGCCAAAGCUAUCCCUUACGAAAAAAAAAUCAUCAGUUUCAGAUUAUAAGAAAAAACAUAUAAAUAAAUGUAUUUUUUUAUUGGAACUUUAAAGUCUGAUCUAGUGAGAUAGGAGUAAUUUUUGGUAAAAAAGAGGUUGGAUCUGAAAAAUGGGUGUUGAGGAGAAUUUUUAGUAAAAUUUUUGGACUUUUCAGCAACUCGCAUGGCAGCCAACAACCACUAGCAAUGACCUUAGAUGGCAGCCGGCACGGUGGCACAAUGCCAAAUUCUAGAAAGGUUGGAGAGGAUUUUUUUUUAGGUUGAAAGGUUUUUUUUUUUAAGGUUUAGAAAUGAAGUAAAAAAAUGGCUUUUAUAUAAAAGGUCAAAUGGCAAAAUGACAUCCUCUUGGGCAAGUAAGAUCCAUGCAUGGACUUGAACCAAAUUCAGGAUCCGCGUAACUUGACCCGACUUUACCCCUUAACCUAGGCCUCGACUGAUCUAGCCAAACUUGAAUUGACCGAUCUGGAUCAAGUAAAAAAAAAUUUUAUGAUUUAUUUAUUUAUAUUUUAAUAUUAGUUUUUAUAAUUAUUAGUUAUGCAUGUUUAAAAUUUAAAAUUUUUUAGAAUAAAUUUCUAUUACAUUUUUAAUAAUAACAAUAAUAAAAGUAAGAAAGAUAAGUAAUAGUAAAUAAUGAAAAAUAAAACUUAAAUUUUUUAUUAUUUUAAAUUUCAUUACAAAAUUAAAAUAAACCUUAAAAAUAAAUUAAAAAAUAAUAAAAUAACUAGAUAAUAAUAAUAAUAACAACAAUAAUAAAAAAAUAAAAAUGAUUUCAAAACUUUUGAUUUUUUUGAAAUUUGAAAAAAAAUAAAGAAUAAUAACAAAAAAAUAUAUAUAAAAGAAUAAAAAUUAUAUAUAUAAAAAAGGAUAAUGGAAAUAAGAUAAUAAAAGAGAUUUUUUUCUCUACCUAGAUGAUGGAGGGAAUAAAAAUUAUUUUUUAAAAAAAUAUUAAUUAUGCCUAGAUGUUGGUGAAUUUUGACCUUUUUUUAUUCAAUUUGUCUCGAUCAAGGAGUUUGUUGCAAAAAAAUGGUAAAGGGAUUGGAUGACAAAGCAUUGGAUGUCAUUUUUUUUUAAUCUCUUGAGUGAGGCCAUAACAUGGGAAGCACCGUGGAUACUUUCUUCUACCAUAUUAUAAAAUUAUGGAGACAAACCUUAGGUUCCAUUACUAGGACUAUGGGUAGUAGCUAGCUAUGCAUCUCUUAUGGUCUAGAGACAAUACAAUUCUCGAUAGUUUAUUCCCAUAACUCAUGGAUUCAAUCUACUCAUAUUUGAUUAUGGUGCACCUAAUUAUAAAAAAAAAGUUUAAAAAGUCAUCAAAGCUGGGAAACAGAUCAAUCGAAUGAAUUCAACUAGGUAUACAGACAAUGUGGCGGAAAGAUAUCUUUCAUGGAAAGCGAAAAGAAUCAUUAAAGUUAGGUCAUUACUAAAAGAUGUUUUAAAACAGCUACUCACCCAUUGCUUAGCAAGAAUUUGAGGUAAAAAGGAAAAAAAUAGAGAAAGAAAAGAUGGUGAUGGUAGAACAGGUUAAUCAAUUGAGAUAUGAUUUGAUGAUGAAAGACGAUACAUUGUAAAAGCUUGGCAAGGAAUAAAAAGUGUUGAAAGAAGAUUUGAAAGAUCACCAUCAAGAAAACAAAAAACUAGGAAUGGAUGUUGGGUUUUCAAGAGAAUCCAAAAAAAAAAUCAAGAAUUGAAAGAAAAUGAUGGAGUACUAGAAAAGUAAAGCCAAAAAGAAUAAAGAAGCUAUUGUCACUCUUACUCAAGACCAACAAACAUGAAAGGAUAAGAUUUUCGAAGUUGUCGAAGAAAACAAGCAAUUAAAGGUCAUAUUAAGGCAAGAAAAAAGUAAGAAUUCUACUAUACAAAAGACAUUGGAACAAAAGUUGACAAGGUUGGAACACUAAUUGGUUGAGAACCAAAACCUCAUGGAUAAGAUUCUGAUGAAGUGGCAAGAAAAGGAGGAUGAAUGGGCUUGUAUCUGCAACAUGAAAGUAGAAGCCUAAGAGAUGUAGAAAGCAAAAAUCUUAGGAAGGUAGCAAUACAUAAAACACUUGACUUCUAAAAUUUACAAAGCUGUCCAAAAGGUGACAAAAUGGUCGAAAAAAUAAAAAGUACUUGAACAAGAUAUUAUACCAACCCAAGGCUAUAGUCAAUGAUUGUUAGACUUUUUAUGUGAGGUUGGAGAGCAAUAUGCUCAAGUUAAAUGUUGUUAUGAUUUUAAUAUAAGGAUAUUGUAUCAUGUGAUCUAAUUCAUGGUUAAUAAACUAAAGUUCAAGGAUAGUGAAGCCAAAGAGCUUAAGUCAACCAAUCCCGCAUUGUUAUAACACUAAUUCUCAAGCUUGAGUCAUGGAAGGAAAGAAAGUAAUUAGGUUUGAGAAGGUAAAAAAAGCAAAGAAAAAAAUAAAAAAAAGAGUAAUGGAAAUUCAACAAAGUAUUGAGGCAUAAAUGGUUGAACUAAGGUAGUUCUUAUCCAGUUCAUUAAAGGGUAAAUAAGUUAUUGGUACAUCAAUACCGGGGAAAGAGAUUAAUAUGGAAGAAUCAUUGUACCCUCUAAGGUUCACCCCACUUUAAACUUAAGCUCCUCAUGGUAUAUAUGUGUAGGCGCCAAAUGUAAAACCUUACCCUUAUAUCAAUCAUUCUGCUAGUCAACCACAGAUUCACUUGAAUGUUAACCUAAGAUCUAUCCAUGUUGACCCCAUCUCGAUACCGAAUCUAGAUGACCCGAUCGAAUAAGAGAAGUCACUGGAAAAGUUUAAGUUGAUUGUGAACUCAAAAAUAUGAAACAAGUAUAAUCAGCUUAAAAAAAGGCUCAAAGUAGUAGAAGGUAACAAUAUCUAUGGGAUUAUUGAUGCUAAUAAGCUCAAUUUGGUGCUUGACUUAGUUAUCUCAACAAAAUUUAAAACCUUAAAUUUUUUUUAGAAAUACUUCAAAACAAAAUGUCAUUUUGCUUACAUUAACAUGUUCUGUCAGAAGAGGGUGGGUCAUACCCAAAAUGACAAGUUCUUGAUACACUAUUUUUAAGAUAGUUUAACUAGAUCAGUAGUUAGAUGGCAUGUACAGCUAGAUCAAAGCCAAAUUCAUUCGUAGAAAGACUUGGCCAAAACUUUCACACCCAAUAUAAACAUGUUCUUGAUAUAGCCCUUGAUAGGUUGUCAUUACAAAAUAUUAGAAAAAAGUCAUUGGAAACCAUUAAGGAAUAUGUGCAUUAUUGAAAAGAUGUGGCAGUCCAGGUCCAACCACCACUAACUGAAAAGAGAACAUUAUGGUAUUUGUCAACACAUUAAAAGCCCUAUACUAUGUCAAGUUGGUUGAAAAUGCAACAAAAAAUUUCUUUGAUAUGGUGAUUUUAAGAAAAAUGGUAGAGAACGCCAUCAAGAGUGGCAAAAUUAAAGAGCCCAAAAAAAAGAUAGCAAAUCCAAAAAAGAAAGAACAUGAGACACACAUAGUUAUUUAUGAAAAUUUUUCAUGUUGGUCCCUUGUUCCAUAUAAUCCAAACCCAUUAUACCCUCUAUAUUACCCUACACCAACCAAAUCUUUCAACAACUAUAUCAUUAAUGAGCACCCCAACAACCAUCACAGAGGCUGAGCUUUAGUCCUCAACUACCCAAUUAUACCCCUAUACCUCAAAUUCAAUCAUUUGCCUAACCAAUCCAUUGAACUAAUAGUAAAAAAAACCCACAAAACAAUAACAAUUAAGAAAAGCCUCAAUUUGACCCAAUUUUCAUGUUGUACACUAAUUUGUACCCCCAGCUAAUGAAAGGCACCUUAUUGCCUUUACCUAUGUGGCACCAUUAAAGGCACCUUAUCAGAGUUGGUAUACCCCAAUGUCAAGUACGAUUGCCAUUAUGGUGGCAAGACAUUCCACUAAAAAAUGCACAACACUUAAAUAUAAGGUAUAAGGCCUAAUAAAUAAGAGGCCCUUAACUUUUUAUACUAAAUUCAAGCCAAGUAUCAGUGGAAAGCCUUUGCCAAACCACUUCGAAGAAAAGAUUAAUAUUAUGGAAAAUGAAAGAGAUGUGAAGAUCAAAAGAUACAUGAACGAAGUAAAACCCCUUUUAAACGGGUGUAUGAUUGUUUGAUUGAAGUAAGCAUGAUUUAGUUAAUAUCUUUGGAUAUUAAUGGAAACCAUGAAGACCACAAUUAGGUUUGCAAGUAUCAUUGAAGGAUGGUUAAACAUUCAAUCCAUAUAUGUGAAAUCUUUCAACAAAUAUUACAAAGUCUGAUGGAUGCGAUUGUAAUAAAGUUUUAUGAUAAGUAUGAUGAAGUAAUGUGAAUAUGAUGGAUGAUGAGCCCUCCUACAAGUCCUUUAUCCCUAAGCCUCUAAUAAUAUUCUAUGAUGUGAAAUUGGAAGCUAUAAUUGAAAAAACUAUCUUUUUUCUUAGGAUGGCAAUGACCAUUAUGUUUCUAGUCCAUUCCUUUACCAAACUGAUAAAAUAGUUCCAUGAAAAUACGACUAUGAUGUCAUGGUUCAAGGACCUGAUACAACCUCGAACAACCAAGUAUGGAGAAUAUUACAAACAUAACAAGCAUAAGAGAAAUAAUCGAGAAUGGUCAAUGUUACACUCUCGAGGCAUCAAAAAGGGCUAGAAAAAGGAAAGGUAAGAUGGAAGAAGAGGAUAUAAUGGAAAGUCAAAGUACUCAGUCGAUAAUAAGCCUAGAAGUGUAGAUUAAAGAGUCGAUAUCAGAAAAAAAAGCCUGUGAAUUCCUAAAGAUCAUCAAGCACAGUAAAUAUAUGUGGUUGACUAGUUAAACAAACUAUCAGUUCAUAUUUUUUAUUGUCACUACUGUUGAGUUCAGAGCCACAUAAGAAUGCUUUGCUGAAAGUACUUAAUCAAGCUUAUGUCAAAAAUAAUAUUUCUAUUUAGAAAGUAAAUCACAUGGUUGGAAAUAUUGUAGCUCCCAACUUCAUUACUUUUAAUGAUAAUGAAAUACCUCCGGAAGGACAAGGUAGUGUUAAAGCCUUACAUAUCAUUGUUAAAUGCAAAACCCAUACCAUGGCCAAAGUAUUGAUUAAUAAUGGGUCAUCUAUUAAUGUCAUACUUAUGACUACAUUAUCAAAGCUUCCACUAGAUCCCUCAUAUAUGAGAAACAGCCAUAUGAUAGUAAGGGCUUUUGAUAGAGUAUGAAGAGAUGUGAUCUGUGAUAUAAAGAUUCCAUUAUAGAUUGGCCCAUGUACCUUUAAUGCCUCAUUUAAGGUGAUGGAUAUAACACCUACAUAUAGCUGUUUAUCUUGAAAACCUUGGAUUCAUACAUUUAGAGCUAUACCUUUAUCUUUACACCAGAAGGUAAAGUUUGUUAUUGAAGGGAAGCAAGUUUGUCUAGAUGGUGAAAAAGAUUUAUUAGUAACGAAAAUCUUGACUACUCCUAAUGUUGAAGCUACUAAAGAGGCGAUCGAAUGCUCAUUUAGAGCUUUUGAAGUAGCAAAUACUACUCAUGUCAAAGAAUGAUCAAAGAUACCAAUCCCCUAACUAUCAAAGACUAUGGGUGUAGACAUAGAAUAUUGUCCGAAACUUUUUUCUAAUAUGAUUGAUCUGGGCCCAUUUACAAAAAUGGGCCAGAACCAUUAAUUAGGACCAUUACAUAAACCAUAUAAAGACCUAAUUACAAGUGUAAACAAAGCCCAUUUGAAGCCAAUAAGAAAGCCCACUUUAAAAGCCUAUAAAAUGCAUCGAUAUUAAAGUCUAUAAUAAAUAAAGAAAAAAAAAACCUAUAGGGUUGCUGUCAAACUCUUUUGCAUGGGAUUUAUAUGGAGACUACCUUUUCACAUGGAUGUAUAAGAAAAAAAGAAUAAAUGAAGCAAGUAAGCCUCAAAGUUAACUCGAGUCAAAUUCGGUCAAACUUGAUUAAUGAAAUUAAAAUUAGUCUAACAAAGUUAAAAUUGCAUAAAACUUGGUUAAAAUGGAUAGAACCUGGGUCAAUUCUCGCAAUUCAUAACCUAAUUGGAAUCAAUGUGGUUUAAAGUUAAAAUUGAUGAUUUUUAAAACACUAAAAAUUUUUAUUGCACUUGGGGAAGUACAAAAUGACUAAAAUGCCUUUUAGGGGGAUUUUUGUAAUUUGACUUUCUCAAGAUUAUUUUUUUUUCAUGAAAACUUUCAAAUCUUAAUUUCAUAAUAUUUCAUGAUUUUUGGUACAUUUGAAAUCAUAGCAGUAUCCUGGGAGGUGUGAAAUUACUAAAAUAUCCCUUAGAGGUAUUUUCAUAAUUUGGCUUCCCAAGUCGGAUUUGCACAAAACUUUUUCAAUCUCAAUUUUAUAAUAUUUCAUGAUUUUUGGUGCUUUAAAAUCUCAAAAAUAAGCAUGGAAACAUUGAUUUCUAAGAAAAUAACUUAAAUACCAAAAACUUUAUACUAUGAGUAAAAUGGUUUUUUCAUUUGGUUUAAUGGUUACAAAAAUCCAACCUUUGUAGUGAAUAAUGUGGAUCAGUAUAUCUCAUAUUGAAUCUUGAUCCAAUGGCUAAAUAUUGUUCUUUAAAAAAAAAGAACUUUGGUCUUUAGAUGAGAUUUGAUUCCAAGGCUUAUAUUUAAUCAUUCAAAGAUAUUUUAGUGGCUUCUUCUUUAUAAGAAAAAAUGGGGCUCUUGAAAAAAAAAAAAAGGAAGGUUUUUUAAAGGAAAAAACAAACAUAAAAAAAAAAAAAGGAAAAAGCUUUUUAGUAGCAAUCUGGGAUUUUUAAGGAAGUCAAUAGGAAAAGAUAAAAGAAUAGGAAAGGAGAUUGGAAGUGAAAAAGGGGAAGCAAAAAUUUGGGAAAUGGUAUUAUUUUUUAUUUUUCUUCUCAUUGAAAGUUUUUACGUGCUAAUAAAGUUUAAAGCUCAAAGCUUUCUUUUUUUUCAUGGGUUUUUUUUUUUUUAUUUGUACACAAGAGUUUAAAACUCUAUUUUCCUGGUCUGUUAUUCUUUUUUUUUUUGUAUGAUAGCUAUUGGUUUAUAAAAAGGAUAAAUAGGAAGACAACCUUUAUAACUUAAAAACUAGUUUUAAAUAUGCAACAAGAAACAAAAGCAUUAAUUUUUGUGCCUACACCUACUAGGGUUGUUAGGAUAGGGAAGUUUCAUGCUUUUGGUUUGCCAAAUUUUUAUCUUAACAAAUGAAAGUUUCAUGUAGACUUGGAAAGUUCAAUAGCUUUCCAAGGUGUGACAAAAAAUUAAAAAAAAAUGAAAUGGAAAAAAAGAGUAUAUGAAACAAGCUUCUAUCCCUUUGUUGUUCAUGUUUUGGUUUGCCAAAUUCUUGUUUUGAUAAAUGAAAGUUUCAUGAAGGCAUGGAGAAUUCAAUAGUUUUCCAAGGUGUGGCAAAAAAAAAAUGAAAAGAAAAUUUUGAAACCAACUACCAUCAACAGCUUUCCAAGAUGCGACAAAAACAAAAAAAAAAUUAUAUAAAAAAGGUUUCCAAGCCCAGCUUGUGUACUUUUCUAGUUAUGUGAGUUCAUCUUUUAGUCUAUUCCCCUCUUGGAUUUAAGUUGGAAAAAAGGAGUCUUUUUUAACAAACCAAACUGUAGGCGCAAAGAUGAUGGAAUUUUGCAAAUUAAUAAUAAAGGACAGGCUUAAAAUAGGCUGUGCAUUGUUAGUUUUUUUUUUUUUUUCUUUUCUUCCUUAUUCCUUGUAUUGUCUAAUCCAUAGAAUAAUGUAAAAUAACAUGGGUAGGGUAAAGUUCUAGAAAAGAUUAUUUUUAUAUGUGAAAAUUUUAAAGCAUGAAGUAGAAAAUGUGUUUCUUCUUGAUAAGUUUUAUGCAUAUUUCAUAUAAUACAUGUUCAUGUUUAUUUAUAUAUUUUUUUCUUAAUUAAAGUUGGAAUUUUAUACAUUAUAAUUUGUUUAAUGUUUAAAUUACGCUUAAAUUAAUUUCAUGCAAUUUAAUUUUUUUGUCAUAAAAUAGUAUUAUUAUUAUUAUUGUUAAUGCAAUUCAUUUUAUUUACACUAUUGUUUCAUGUACAAAUUAAAACAAAAAAAAAAAAUGGAAGUAGUCCCUAGACAUGCCUAAACUUUGGCUUUGUUCCCUAUUUGGUUGUGAAUUUAGACUUUCCUUAUUGCCUUUCAUGUAAGUAUCAAUAGUCAUGGUGUGGGGCCAUUAUUGUAAGGUUGUAGCAUAACAUCAUGUAAGUGUCCAACGUCAUGGCAUGGGAGCUAUUAUUUGCAUUGAAUAUUUUUUUUCUUGGCUUAUUUCUGUUUAGUUUAAAAUGGAAUUAGUUCAGAAAGUUCAUUCUAGUUAGAAUUUUAUAAUAAGUAAAAAUUUUAAAAUAUAAGGCCUAAAGUUUGUUCCUAAUAAAGUUUAUUUCCAUGUGUUUAAUUUUAAUUAUACCUAUACAAAUUUUUUUAUGUUGUUUAAAUUUAAUUGCAAGUUUAAUUUUAUGUAUUGUUAAUUUUCUUAUUGUUUGGAUUCCCAUGCUCAUUUUAAUUUAAUCUUUCAUACUUUAAUUUAUGUUAGGUAUAUUUUAUUUUUCUUACACUUUAAAUUUAUGCAAAAUAAUAAUAAUAGCAAUAACAAUAAUAAUAAUGAUUUUAAAGAAAGAAGAAAUAUAUAUAAAAUAUGUAAGAAUAUAAAAAUUUAUUUUUUAGUAGAAUUAUAAAAAUGAACUUGUUUCGAAAGUUUACUUAUAUGUUGGAGAAUUUUAGAGAGGCAUAAAUUCUUAAAAUUUAAACCAAACCUACCAAAAACCCUAAGCUCAUUUUAAAUUUCUAAGGAUUUGUAUGAAAACAUUUUAUGAAGUAAUAUAUUUCUGAAUGCUAUCUAGAUGUCGAGGUAUUUAGGAAAUUUUAUUUCAUUAAGAAUUUUCAUUCAUUUUCACAAUUCAAAAUAAAUUUUUUUUUAUUAAAACACAAAAUAUAAAAAAAUAAUAAAAAUAAUAGAACAAAACUUUAAAUAUAAAAAGUAGCACCCAAACUUUGCGUGGAUAUUAAAAAGUUUAUGUGGUCUCUUUAUAUUUGAAAACUCGAUUCUUAAAUUUGUAUUUUAUCAUCAUCUGCAUAUAACUCAUUUUUUAGAAUAAUGUGUACAUUCAUAAUUCAUAUAUAUGUUUGUUGAUGUUUAAUAUUCAUUAUAUUAUUCGUUUUUUUUACUACAUAAAAAGUUUUCUUAAAAAUUUUUAGUUUUGAACAAAUAAAAUUAAAAUAAAAUUCUGUGAAAUAUAAUUAUUAGUACUCUAACUAGAUGUUAGAGAGUUAUUAAUAAUUAUCAUUUACAAANNNNNNNNNNNNNNNNNNNNNNNNNNNNNNNNNNNNNNNNNNNNNNNNNNNNNNNNNNNNNNNNNNNNNNNNNNNNNNNNNNNNNNNNNNNNNNNNNNNNNNNNNNNNNNNNNNNNNNNNNNNNNNNNNNNNNNNNNNNNNNNNNNNNNNNNNNNNNNNNNNNNNNNNNNNNNNNNNNNNNNNNNNNNNNNNNNNNNNNNNNNNNNNNNNNNNNNNNNNNNNNNNNNNNNNNNNNNNNNNNNNNNNNNNNNNNNNNNNNNNNNNNNNNNNNNNNNNNNNNNNNNNNNNNNNNNNNNNNNNNNNNNNNNNNNNNNNNNNNNNNNNNNNNNNNNNNNNNNNNNNNNNNNNNNNNNNNNNNNNNNNNNNNNNNNNNNNNNNNNNNNNNNNNNNNNNNNNNNNNNNNNNNNNNNNNNNNNNNNNNNNNNNNNNNNNNNNNNNNNNNNNNNNNNNNNNNNNNNNNNNNNNNNNNNNNNNNNNNNNNNNNNNNNNNNNNNNNNNNNNNNNNNNNNNNNNNNNNNNNNNNNNNNNNNNNNNNNNNNNNNNNNNNNNNNNNNNNNNNNNNNNNNNNNNNNNNNNNNNNNNNNNNNNNNNNNNNNNNNNNNNNNNNNNNNNNNNNNNNNNNNNNNNNNNNNNNNNNNNNNNNNNNNNNNNNNNNNNNNNNNNNNNNNNNNNNNNNNNNNNNNNNNNNNNNNNNNNNNNNNNNNNNNNNNNNNNNNNNNNNNNNNNNNNNNNNNNNNNNNNNNNNNNNNNNNNNNNNNNNNNNNNNNNNNNNNNNNNNNNNNNNNNNNNNNNNNNNNNNNNNNNNNNNNNNNNNNNNNNNNNNNNNNNNNNNNNNNNNNNNNNNNNNNNNNNNNNNNNNNNNNNNNNNNNNNNNNNNNNNNNNNNNNNNNNNNNNNNNNNNNNNNNNNNNNNNNNNNNNNNNNNNNNNNNNNNNNNNNNNNNNNNNNNNNNNNNNNNNNNNNNNNNNNNNNNNNNNNNNNNNNNNNNNNNNNNNNNNNNNUGAGUCAAUAAUUUCUUCAUAAGCAAUCGUUCAUUAACGGAGCCGAACGAAAAUCUAAACAUAUAGUUUGGGCCAUGGAUGCUCAGAAUAUUUACCCAAAACAUUGACUCUUAAAAAUAAGCCCAGCUCACUAUAUGCUAGGAGUUUUAGAUCAUAAACAUUGGCCCAUCCCAUUUUAAGCCUGGGAGAAUCCUUGAAGGGCUGGACACACCGCAAACGUUGUUCCCAACUGUUCAAGGAGGAGCACACUUUAUUGUUAUUAUUUUUUCUUUUUCUGGAGAAGAUAAAAAGUUCAAAAUCUUCACUUACCUGAAACAGGUCAAAAAGUGGAAAAAUAUUAUGUUAUGGGACUUGAAUUUCAAGCUUCCGCACAUCACGCCGACAAAUUGAACAGCUAAAGUUCUUCCUUUAACAUUACUUAAAGAAAUUAUUUAAUCACUGGAGUGUACCAAACCAAACAUGUCUUUUCCAACUAAUCAUCUCAUUUUAUAAACCUUUGCCAGAGACUAAAAAUGAGAUUGAUGAUCAUGAAGCUAAAUAUUGGUUUUCAGCGGUUCAUAAUUGGAUGCACUCUCAAAAAUAUGUGAAUGAUGAUUUAAAGCCAUAAAUGCAAACGACAUUUCGUUUCAUGUGUCUACAUUGCUCUUUAAGUGUUUGCAAAUAGAAGAAAGGCUCAAGUCUGGAAAAUUAUUUAAAAUCAAAGGAAUAUUGUUAAUUCCCAUCUUCGGAGAACAUUUGAACUCAUCAAACAUAAUAAUUUUCAUUCAUCAAUUAUAAUACCAAAUCAUUCUAUAUGCAUUUCUCAGUACUUCAAAAGAGAAAAAAAAAAAAAACAAAAACAAAAAAAAAGAAGGAUGUAGCAUGUUACAUAAUUCCUUGUUCCUUGAAUUAUUAUAGGGUAAGCUAAAGAUAGCAUGCCGAUGUCAAAGCAAUAAUAAUAUUACUUUUUCUUUUUUAUGCUAAGAAAUGAUUAAAAACGCUUACAUGUAUACGCCCUUGACCUAGUUAUAUCUAAAAAAAUCUUCUUGAAUCAAUCUGAACAAAUCAGAAGAAAGAACUACAAGAAUAUUGUUUCAAGGCCUGCCUUCAAGUGCCACACCCACUAAUGCCCUAUUUGGAUUACAUUGCAUCUCCAAUGUAAUACAAUUCAAAUGCAUGGCAUUUGGAUUGUAUUUCAUUGCUCUCAAACGCACUGCCCCCUUUAAUUGGAAACAGGAAGGUAAAGGGUUCAGUUGAGUGGGUCGAAUGUUUAGUAUAAAAAUUAAAAAUGAAGAGGACUUUUAAUUAUGACAACUGAUUAUUUUUAGUGACAUUGUUGAUUGUUUUACCAAAUUUCAUCAUCACCGUUGCAUUUACUUUUAAAUACAUGUUAAUUAAUCAACCUAGAAAUUAACUAUCCUCUACCUCUAUAUAAGAUAAUCUUAAAAAAAAAAAAAAAAAAGAAGAGGGGAGAUUUUCAGUUUCGACUUUUUGUCUUGUAGAUACCUAACUUAACUGACAGGACCCCAUUUUUCAUUUCCCCACCACCCUUUGAUGAAAAGCAAAGAGAGAGGAGCCUGAUUCAACAAAAUCAAAGAAAUUAAAAUAAGCAUGUACCUUUUUGACGGAUGAGAUCAAAACAAAGAUUUUAGGUGCCGACACUCUCAUGGAAUGCACAUGCUGUAUGCGCUAUUUGUUAUCAUUAUUUUCUUCCCCGCAUCUUUCGCUUUCCUUAAUCCGCGCAUAAGUGCCCGGUCAUCAGCAGAGCAACUAAGUCUAUAAAAGAACUUAAUAAAUAUUGGAGCUUUCCAUCAACUUAGAGUACUAUACUAUUACUAUUUCCCCUUGCUCUAUUUUCCUGAUCAUGGCUUCCCUUGCAAAGCACAUUACUUUUUUCUUCCUUCUAGUGCUAUCCUCCUCUGUCCAGAUUCGAGCUAGGGAAAGCAUGUUCUUUAGCAAGAUCUUCCACCUUGGGGGCAAAAUUUCUCCUCAAGAGGUACCUACACCAUCUCCAGCACCAGCGCCGGCUAACUCUGAGGGCCAAUUAGAUCCUUAUCAUGGCCUUUAUGGUCAGGGCUCUGGCAUGUUCCCUCCUGUAAAGAAGACUGUCAGCACUAGCAACACUCCUACCACUUUCGAAAAUGAUCUUUUGGCUGAAGAACUUGCUGAUGAAAAAUAUGAGACGGGCUAUGAGAACAACAAAUACAACAAUAAUGGCUACACCCUCAGCAACUACAACAGCAAUGGCGACACAAGCAGCAACUACAACAACAAUGGCUACACCCUCAGCAACUACAACAACAAUGGUUAUGAGACAGAGAGACAAGGAAUGAGUGAUACCAGAUUUGUGGAGGGUGGUAAGUACUAUUAUGAUGUGAAGAAUGGGAACUAUUAUCCUAAUGGAUACGAGUCGUCAGGUAAGGAAACUACUAAAAAUGAAGGUUACUACGGAAAUACAGAGAACUCCAAUGAGGUCAACCCCAUGGAAGAGUACCAGGAGAGCCAAGAAGAGUAUGUGCCAUAGAUAUUGGCCAUGACUCAUGAAUGAAAAAAGGGAAAAGAGUUUUGGAUAGUGGAUGUAUGUUUAAGAUCUGGAAGACUAAGUUAUGGAGUCUUUUAUUCAUGUUUUUAUUUUCUAUUCUCACUUGUGUUUGCACAAUUUUUAUGCUUUGCAAAUCAGAAAGGAUUGAAAACAAUACAGUUUUAACACAUUGGACUUGAUUGUUGAUUAUCUUCCUCUAAGGGCUAAGUGUUAUGUUGUCCUGAUUCAAAUCAACAGAAUCAAUUGGGUUUGCCAAAAUAGCCGAAUCCAAUAAACCCGAAUUCAUCAUGUGGUAAAUUUAAUAUUCUAAAAAAUUCAUUAUUAUACAAUUGAUCAAAAGUUAAGCAAAAAAGGACUGAAAAUAAUAAGAAAAAGAGGCACAUAUAUGACUGCUAUUAAAGCAACACCUCAUUUUAAUGAUUUAUAAAGGCCAAGAUCCAUUCAAUUCCCCAUUGAAAUUCACAACUUUGUGCAGGAUGUUAAAGCAUGCUUGAUUUCAAGGGUAGGAUUAACGGCUCGAGGGGUUAAUCGUGCUCACAAACUGAAUUAAAUUAGUCAGGACUUCUUAUUCUAACAAAAAAACCCACACUUUCCAUGUGCCAUCCAUCUCAUCAUCAAUGAUUUACCUUUUGUUAAUAAAUUACAUUAGCAAAAUGUGAGCUACCAUGCAAAUCCCAUUACAUUACGUGCAAUCUUUUUUCUUCAUUCUCAAGCUACAGUUUUUUUAUAUAAAAAAAAUUAUAUUCCUUUUAUUUUCAGCUUGUAUUAAAAUUUUGGUGAUUAUUUGUAGAUUUAUUAAUUUUAAACAUGAUAUGAUAAUAUGAUAAUAACAAAAAAAUAUAAAAGUGAUACGAUAUAAAAAUUUUAACAAAAAUAAUAUAUGAAUUUGAUAAAAACUAAAAAAUAUAUUUUGUAUUUAAUAUGUUAAUAUAAAUUAUAAUAUAAUAAUUUUUAUAUCUUACAUGUUUAACAUAAAAUACAUACUGUGCCAAUACACCAAUUAAUAUAUUUAAUUAGGCGAGUAAGCGAUUUUGUGACUAAGAAACAAAAGACCACCAAAUUAGACCUGAGGCGAUCAUGGGCCAGGAAGGGCCGAAUUUAGACCAGAUUAUAUACUUCAUGUUGUGAAGAGAAACCCCUCCCCCAAAGCCUGGCAUGGUUUGAAGAGAAAUAGUUAACUUGGGCCAAGAGAGGCUCCCUCUCAUCAUUUUAAAAGUUCAAAUAUAUGAAGAAUAAGUAAAAAACUCUAAAUUAGCAACAAAAAAAAAAAAAAACAGUUCCGAAGUAAAAUCUAUAUAAAGGGAAAAAUAAAUGCUCCGUUUUUUUGCAUUUAUGUAAUAAAAUAAAUUAUUAAAAUAUUUUACUGAUUUAGAUCAAUUAAUAUAUUAUUAGAGUUGCGUUUAAAAAUUGAGAGUUCAAAAAAAUUUAAGCAUAUAAUAUUUUUUUCAUAAAAAAUAUAAUAGGACAAGAGGUUUUUUUUUUUUUGGAACAAAUUAAAUUUUCAAAAAAAUAUUAAAGUGUUUUAAAAAUAAUAAUUGGGACCUUGUAAAAAAAGGGCCCAGGUGAGAGCGGUCCCAGGAUGUUGCCCACGUUGAUCCUAUGUAGUAUUAAAAGAUCCAUGCAAAUACCUGGUGAGCGUCUGGAAUAAAAAAUGGCGUGUGGGCCUACGGAAUUUUACGACAGAAUAGUAUAGUCCGGUUCGGCCCAGUUUGCUGUUUUCAGUUAGGAGAGGACCAGUUUAAAAGGGAGACCCAUGAUGGAUUGCUUGGGGAGAAAUUCAAUUAGUAUAAUAACAUUCCUUUUUCUUUUCUUCUUCAAACGCUUACGACUCCGAAGAGAUUUCCCAAGUAAAGCCAGAUAACCCAUUGCCCUAAGCGCGAUGUCGGAUCCCAAAAGAGGCGCCGGAACUUCCCAGACGAAGCCUCCGCCCAAGGACCCCAAGAAGAGAGAUGAGAAAAAAGAGGAGGAUCUGGUGAGUCGCAGUUCGGAGAUUAGGGUUUAGUUAACUGUAUCGAUAUUUUUUAUAACUUAAGUAGUUCUUUGUUUUUUGGCAUACGCAGUCGGAAGAGGAUUUGGCUUUGAAGCAACAGCUGGAGUUAUAUGUUGAAAGAGUUCAGGAUCCUGAUCCUGGACUCCAGAAAGUAGUUCUUGAGAGCAUGAGGUAAUCAAAUUAUUUGCGAAUUUGAGUUAAGAAUAGAGAAAAAGGAAGCUUAUUUUAUAGUUCGAAAGAGUGUUUAUUUUAUGUUUGUAUGUUUUAUUAACAUCUUAUCAAGUUGAUGGGUCAGGUCGAAUGUGAAAUUGCCGCUGUCAAUUUAUCAAAUUAUGUUAUUUUUGUCGAUUUUACUGUUAGCUGGAACGUCCAUGGGUGGGUUUAGUUGCAAUGCCUGAAUAAAGCAUCAUUUUUUUACAGUGUAAUUUUAUAUCCUUUUUAGGCAAGAAAUCCGCACUUCAACAAGCUCCAUGACUUCUGUUCCAAAGCCAUUGAAGUUUCUCCGUCCUCAUUAUGGAACCCUAAAGGCUUUUUAUGAGACAAUGCUGGAAUCAGAUUUGAAGGUAUUACUUGUUUUGCGUUAAUUAUCUCCCGUUACAUCUUUUAUAAGGGUGAUCUAUUUGAGCUAAGCAAUGUAGUGAAGGAUGAUUUAGAUGGAAGCAUAAUUUUUAAUUGGGACUUUGUUCUUAAUUAAUAUGUCAUGGGCAGAAUUAUUAUUUAUAAUAAAUUUUUAGGGUAUUUAGGUUAUUUGUUUUGAGUAGGUUUUUUUUUUAUUAACUAAGUGUAGGAAGUAGCCUAUAAAUGCCUAUAUUCUUUCAGGUUAAUUAGCCAUAUUCUCAUAAAUCCAGAAUUUCCCUUGGUUUUAAGAAUUUUCUUGAUGUCUUUUCUUUCCUAUAUGUUCUGCAUCACUAAAUUACUUUCACUUGUUUGCAGAAAUACCUAGCUGAUAUCCUGUCUGUGUUGGCACUGACCAUGUCUGAAGAGGGCGAGCGGGUAGCUCUCCAUUUUUUUCCCAAAUAUUAUACUUGGAGAAUUGCACAAGUUUUGCUUUAUCUUUCUCAUUCCUCACUUGUAUGGCACUCUAAUUUUGAUAUUCAAUCAUUCUUUCAAUUUGACAAUCCUACAGGAGAGUUUAAAGUAUAGAUUGUUGGGUUCAGAAGGCGACAUUGGUUCGUGGGGCCAUGAGUAUGUGAGGUGAGCAUUGUCUGACUUGAUAACAUACUGUUUUAUUUUUUUUCCUGGAAAUUUUGUAUUACCAGUGCUAGCUGAACUUGUUUUCAGAUUGUGAUCAUGAUUUAAGUUUUAUCUGUUGGUAUAUUGGUUGCUACUGCUGUCUUGGUGCUCCAACUUUCUUUUCUUAGAAUUUUUAACCUAAGGAUAACCUAUGUGAAUUUUUUUCUUCUCAUGUUGGUAAUGAAAUCUAAAAGAAAUUUGUGUUCUGACUUGUUAAUUUAUUGUCAGGAACUUGGCGGGAGAAGUUGCACAAGAGUAUAUGAAGCGGCAGGUUAGAAAUCUAAGGAAUCUUUAGAUAUCUAGAAGUUUUAAUGAGUUAUGCACUUUAAAACAAUUCUCUCUUUAUGGUUUUCCUGAAUAGUGAGACAUGAAUCUGGAUUUCAAUUGUAUUUACUUUCUUUGCCGCCAAUACAGAGUGAAGAGGCCCCAAUUGAAGAUCUAAUGGAGCUUGUGCAACAAAUUGUUGCUUUUCACAUGAAGGUUUAUAUCUUGUUAUAUAUAACAAGCAAUUGAUUUAUUGCAGAAGAAAAUUCUGUUCAGAAUAUGCCACGUUUUCCUGCUUCUUAUGUAUUUGUGCUUUUAUGUGCAGCACAAUGCUGAACCUGAAGCUGUUGAUCUCUUGAUGGAGGUGCCACACAACAUAAUUUCUUUUUUCAGGUUUCCUAUUUGAGUUGCCUUCUGUUUUUAUUGAGCUUGAAACAUAUGAUUUGCAACCCACUGCAGGUUGAAGAUCUUGAUCUUUUAGUUGAGCAUGUUGAUGUUACAAAUUUCAGGAGAACUUGUCUAUACCUCACCGGUGCUGCUAGGUAACUGGAAACUAAUGCUUCUGAACAACUUGUUUACCAUGAAUAAUUGAGAGAAAGUGUUUUUUGUUGUUCUCCUAAUGUAUAUCUUCUUUGGUGAAUUCUGAUUGAGAAUUCUCCAAUCAAUUAUAUGUGAAAUUUAUUAAGUUUUAAAUGCUGAACUGAAAAUUUUCAACUGGAUCUCUGAUGUAGUGUUAUCCACGAUAAAUGAUGUUGCUCUCUCUCUCUCUCUCUCUCUCUCCCUGUUUUGACAUUUCAUGCUGCAAUUUUUUGCAGAUACCUUCCUGGACCAGAUGACAUGUUAGUUUUGGAUGUUGCAUACACAAUAUAUCUUAAGUUUGAGGAAUUUGCAAAUGCACUUCAGAUUGCACUUUUCCUUGACAACAUGCAGGUUUGUUUUCUAUUAUUUUCCUCUUCUUUCAUGCCAUGCAGCAUUGUUGAGAAACUCCUUUUUCAGGAUGUCAGUAUGAAAUUCAUUUAUGAAUUUACUUAGUUUUAACUAUUUAGAAUGUGCUCUUGCAGCAUGUGAGACAGGUGUUUACUUCUUGUGAUAAUCUGCUGAGGAAGAAGCAAUUUUGCUACAUACUAGCUCGACAUGUAAGUGCUAGGUUUGCUUUGGCUAGAUUCUUUGUGCUGGAAAGUAUUUCAACUAUUUAUUGCUAAGUGCAUCAUAUGGUCAAUAGUUUCUUCUAAUUACGGACAAUUGAAUUUUCAUUUUCUCAUGGUCGAAAUUGGAUAUUGAUGGAUUUAAAUUUCUCUAGACUUGUUAGUCGGUGUAUGUACAAGUGUGAAUGUGCAUGUGUUUGAUGUGCAUGACAUUUUCUAUGUUAUUCAUUUGUUUUAUGUAUUUAUUUAUUUAUUUUUUUGCAGGGGAUUACUUUUAAGCUUGAUGAUGAGAUGGUUGCAGAAGAUGAUGACAGAGAGGGUUUACAGGAUAUCAUCAACAAUACCAAAUUAAGUGAAGGUUAUCUCACCCUUGCUCGGGAUAUCGAGGUUAUGGAGCCUAAAUCUCCAGAAGACAUCUAUAAGGUUUGGACUUCAACACUGGCUGGUAGCCAACCCCUCCUCUUUUUCUCCCCCUCAUCUUAUUGUUUCCCUUUCCUAAUGAAGGGAAUGAAGUGCUCACAUGCAUGUUCAGUUAUUUCAGUGAUACCUUUUUUAUUUUACAUGACAUUGCCCAUGUUGGAUAAUUUGCUUCAUCAUAUUGAUGACUUACAUGCUUGGUUUUGUUAGGCUCACUUGCUUGAUGGCCGCGCUAGUGGUGGUGCAAGUGUUGAUUCAGCUAGACAGAACUUGGCAGCUACAUUUGUCAAUUCAUUUGUUAAUGCAGGCUUUGGCCUGGUAUGGUUUGCAAACUUAAAAAUAAUGAAAGCAUGAGAGCUUAGUUUCUUAUACCGGAUAAUAUUUUUGCCUCACAGGAUAAGUUAAUGACAGCUCCACCAGACUCUUCAAGUGGCGGUUCUUCUGGAAAUUGGCUUUUCAAAAACAAAGAACAUGGGAAGACCAGUGCUGCAGCAAGUCUGGUAUGUAAAAAUUUGCUUCCAUAUGGCAUGCAUAUGCUGAUAUUCAAUUUUCUGUUAGGAAUUCAGUUUAAAUAUAGGAUUCUUAUCACUUUCCGCAUAACAGGGAAUGAUUCUAUUGUGGGAUGUUGACUCUGGGCUUGCUUAUAUUGACAAGUAUUUACAUAGCAAUGAUAACCACGUGAUUGCUGGAGCACUAUUAGGAGUUGGGAUCGUCAACUGUGGUGUUAAGAAUGAUUGUGAGCCUGUGGGUUUCUUUCUCCUCAUCUCUUGGUUUGUGCAGUGUAUUGCUUGCUAUAUAUCUGUCUUGUUUUCUUUUCUCAGGCACUGGCACUUCUGAGUGAAUACGUAGGCAAAGAAGAUUCUUCAAUCCGAAUUGGUGCAAUUAUGGGUUUGGGAAUUGCAUAUGCAGGUGCUCAAAAUGAGCAGGUAUACAUCUCUCUCUCUCUCUCUCUCUCUCUCUCUCCAUUAAAUGAACCUGGUAGGUCAUGGCACUGGCAAAUAUGUCCUUUGUGAUGAAUGCAGUUGCUAUUUUUUGAUUGGAUGCACUUAAUCUAACAAUUAUGUUAGUUUUCUUUGGGAAUUUGGCUGAAAUUGUGGAUGGGGCAUGUUUGGUUCUAAUGAAAGCUCACCAAUGUUAUUGACAGAUUCGUAGCAGCCUGACUCCCAUACUUAAUGAUGCAAAAGCCCCCCUUGAUGUGAUUGCAUUUACUGCAAUUUCAUUGGGUUUGAUAUUUGUGGGUUCCUGCAAUGAGGAAGUUGCACAGGCUAUUAUAUUAGCUUUAAUGGAACGAAAUGGGUCAGAAUUGGGGGAGCCCCUUACUCGGCUUAUACCUCUUGGUCUUGGUCUUUUAUACCUUGGGAAGCAGGUAAAUAAUAGUUUGGGCUCUGGCAUAUAUUUGUUUCUCUUAAGUGAAUUACAUAUCUUUUUGCAGUUUUGAGAACAUGUAGUCUGCUAUAUGCAAUUUGGAAACAUUUCAUCCUGACUGUCAGCAAAAAACUUUUACACCUGACAGAAAGUGGGAGGCCACUGCAGAGUCUCAAAAACGUUGAUGAAAAGAUAAGAAACUAUUUGUGACUUAUGACACUGCUGUCUUUGCCUACGCUGGAACUGGAAUGUUCUAAACGGUAAUCCCUUAAAUCCAUUAAAAUGCUGUUCAAAAACUAGAUUAUUAUGCAAUUUUAUAGUUAACUGUUAUAUAUACAGUCCAAAAACCUACUCAGUCAGUGUGCCUGAACAUCUGAAAAGGUUGAAACCCCAUCGACCAGCUGUGCUCGGAAUUGCCAUGUAGCAUGUGAAGAAUUGUCUUGAGAUGAUCAAUUCGCUCAUUAGAGCAAUUUUUGCAGUAUGGUGAGAGAAUAUCCGGCGGGCAGUUCCUUUGGCUCUUGGUCUUCUGUGUAUAUCAAACCCAAAGGUAAAUUAAUCUCAGUACAUCUGGCUGAACAACCUAUUUUGGCUAUUUUCAAGGGGAUUAAAUUUUAGGUUGAAGACUUAAAGGUACCACUUUUUCAUCGUAGCAAAUGAGCUACACUAUGGAAUUUAAUAAAUAUGAUUUAGUGAAGUCAAACUGAGAAGCAGAGAACAAUUAAGUUGACUGCUGUUAAACCCAAAGAUCAAGAUGUUAAGAAAGCUGAAGAGAGUUCUGCAACUUUUUAUGAUGUCUCUUUCUCACCAUUUUAUUGGUUGCACAUAUAUUCUACAGGUUAAUGUGAUGGACACCUUAAGCAGGCUUAGUCAUGAUACAGAUUCAGAAGUUGCAAUGGUAAGAUGGUUAGAGUAAAGCUUUUCUCUAUAAUAUUGUUGUUUUUCCAUCAGCUUGCACUUAAGUGUUUGCAUGGAUGCUGCAGGCUGCAGUUAUUUCCUUGGGUUUGAUAGGUGCUGGAACCAAUAAUGCUCGCAUAGCUGGCAUGCUUCGCAAUCUUUCAAGUUAUUACUACAAAGAUGCUAGCCUUUUAUUCUGUGUAUGUUUGUUGUACUUGUCUUUAUAGUAUCUUGCAUGAUACCAUGUGCUCUGUUAGAGACUAAGGUUGAUUGCUUGUGCAGGUGCGACUUGCUCAAGGAUUAGUUCAUUUGGGGAAGGGUCUAUUGACUCUUAAUCCCUAUCAUUCUGAUCGCUUUUUGCUAUCCCCGUAAGUGGCUCUUCCUGCAUACACAUUCACCAAAAUUAAAAUUAAAAUUCACAAAAUGAUAUAUUUGGUUUGGACUUGGGGAGUGGCUUUCUUUCUGUAAACUGCUAGUAGCUGCUUCAAUUUGGUUUGCCUUAUAAAAAUUUCUUUCUUUUGUUACCUCCAGGACUGCACUUGCUGGUUUGGUCACAAUGCUACAUGCAUGUCUUGAUAUGAAAGCUAUAAUACUGGGGAAAUACCAUUAUGUUCUCUACUACCUUGUUUUGGCAAUGCAGGUUCGUUUGAGUGAUGCUAGUUUCCCCGUGUGCAUGUUUUUGUCAAUCAUGUUUUUCUUGUUCUCGUAAUAUUGUUUUCUUGUACAGCCAAGGAUGUUGAUGACUGUUGACGAAAACCUCAAACCUCUGUCAGUCCCAGUUCGGGUGGGCCAGGCUGUUGAUGUUGUUGGCCAGGCUGGCCGACCCAAGACUAUUACUGGUUUCCAAACCCAUUCCACCCCAGUUCUUCUGGCUGCCGGCGAUAGAGC
rnacentral:lncRNA from 1 species